rnacentral:lncRNA from 1 species
ACAGUGGCAGGUAUGUGAUGCCGAGCACCAUCUCAGACGGGAGGUCCUCCAGGCAGAUCGGGGACGCACCUCUCCUGAGGACCCUCAUGACAUUCACGAAGUGCAUUUCGCCGGUGGUCACCCCUUCAGCAAACGCACUCUGGGACCAGUGUUCUUUCAGGAAGGCAACCAGGUCUGGCGGCUCACCGUUGGUGCCCCCGGUCGCAAUGAUGUCUGCAGCCUCGUAUGUUGCAGCUGCAUCUCUUAGGAAGUUGGACCUCAAAAGGAAGGUGACACCAUCAAGCGACCUGCUGCCCUGGCCCCUCGCAGCUUUGAGGAUCUGAGUGCUGAGAGCUUCAAGAAUUUGCUGGGGGAUAUGUGCAAGCAAAUACGAGGCCACCAUGAAAUGGCCACUGGAGGCAGCAGUUGUCAGGGCAAGGCACAUCUCAAUUUCAGAGAUGCCUCGACUGACAAACCAGUGGACAACCUGCAAGCACCCACGCUCUGCAGCUUUUAUCAGAGGGCUGAGGAAAGAAUUCACGUUCCCUUCAUCAACUAGGCAUUCCAUUGUGUUGAACUUGCAGUAAUGAGAGGCAUAUACUAGAGCCAGCUCGGUGUCCACAGCCAAGCUAUUCUGAUAUGCAACCUGCAUAAAGAGGGCAAAUGUUACUGUUGCAUUGUCAUGCUGUUCUUUGUGAAAUGUACUUUUCAAAGAUAUUUAAGGGAUCAAUACAGUUGAAAUUCCUAGGAUAACACGACAGAUUUUGACCAAUUAUUUACAUCUAAACUGGAAAAAAAACCACUAUGCACACGACCAAAGGUGUCUCUGCACCCAGUCAACUCAUAAGUCUCCUAUCUAGGAAGCAGGGGUGAAAGCUUAGUGGAGGCGAAACUGGGUUCUCCCCCUACCCCCACUGCCUUGCUCCGUGCACUGACCUCAGUACCGGCAGUUGUUAGAUGCUGCUGUCGCUGGUCAGAGAAGAUGAACGGGCAUCCAAAUAGUCCACCAGCCCAAGCAUUGAAGGGGGUAUAUAACGAAAGGGCCAAGUGGGCUUUGUAUCUUAUUCCUUUGCCAACAAGUGUACCUAUGGUGGCCCAGAAACAAGCAGUCCGAUGGCCAGGAAGCCUGCCAUUGCUUUCUGUUAUUCUGUAGCAGUAGCAACAAGAAUCCCCCACGGCCCCACCACCACCAUCACCAUCACCCCCACUACUGAUUUGGUGCUGCACUCCGCCACUGCUAGGAAGGAUAGGCUGGUUCAGUCGAGGAGAAUAUUUUCUAUCAUCAUAGCCCAACCAUGCCAUCCAUGAAUAGGCUCCUUAAGAUCCCAUAGAGUAUAAAUGGAAUAAUUCAUGUAAUACGAUUCUAUUUUUGUUAGAGGUAACCUUAAUCAGUCCUGCCCAUAAAGCACAAAAGCUUCUAACAAUUGUCUACAUCUGUGGAGAAAGUUAUGUUCUGGCAAAUGACCACCAUCUUGUAUGGCAUGGCCAAUUCAUUUUUAGUUUUGCACAUGGCCAUGCAAAUGUCAUAAUUUUGCAGUGGCCUAUAGGCUAUAGCAAACUCAACACACCCUCCCUUUUUGUAAUUCUUUAGUACCAAUAUUUUUGGAAUUUGGAUAAUAAAACAUUAGGGGUGAUCUAUAUCUUGACGAACACUGUACCAAUAUUGUUUUUAUGUGGUCGCAUUGGUGUAAGUAGAAACAUAUUCGAAUAAAGAAAUAUUUAGAUUUUUCUUGCAUACAACUUUAAUUUUUUAAUUUGUCAAUAAAACUUGUAGAUUCCUUUUCAGGCCAAAAUUGAGAAAGCAAAAUCGCAAACUACACUUCAGCAUCAACAUUUUUUGUGGCCAACGUUUCCUAUUUUAAGGAUAUAGUCUCAAGUCUAGAUACAUAGUUCAAGCUAAAGACUCAAAAGAGGAAGACGAUAACGAAAUAAUGAGAAAAGAUAGUUACACUAUCAUGAAUACGGUUACUUCUGUGAAGAAGAGCAGUAUUUCAGGCCAAAUUUAGAAUAACUGACAACAGCUAAAAUGUUCAUAAAAAAUCUACUUCAGUAACAACAUUUUAGUUUAACAUGCACAUAGGCCCAAUCCAUUCCUUGGGAAAGCACAAAAUCACCUCAGCUAGUUUAUAAGUACUUUAAAGGCAUGCUCUAAAUUCUAGAAUGUAAAAAGUUAGUUAAAAGCCCAAGUGCUCAAAGAGGAAGACAACAUGCAAAUGUUAGUUACUUAUUACUAAUAGCAUAGUCAGCAAAGGCAUAUUGAGCUUCUUAAGGAGUGGGAAUUAACUGAAAGAUAACAGUGGAACAGGGUAAUCCAAAAGUUUGAAGUUAUUGUGUGUUUAGUUAGAUGAUCCUACCGAAUCCCAAAAAACCUAACCGAAGGGCAUGCAGAAUUUUGACCAUCAGAUUAGUUGCCAGUUGCCCUAACUUAACUAUACUUUGGGAACCCGUUGUGUUGAACUAUACUUUGGGAAGAAAAUGAACUUCCAAUGACUAUGUGUUGAUUGAAUGUAAAAUUAUGGAUGCAAACCAAAUAUGUGCCAAAGUACAGUCCAAAGUUUGGAGGACCCCACAUGUAUGACAUAGAGUUGCAAUAGAAAACUUUCAUUAGAAAAGUGUGUAUUCUACACAACAGAGUGCAAAUCAAUGUUAGUAUCAUCCAGUAAUUAUAUUUGGCAUAAACAAAGAGUUUGGUGGCAACAAGCAUCAGAAAGGACUAUAGGUUAAACUAUCCUCUUAAAAUGCAACUGAUUCCAGAAUUUAUGGCUCGGGUAGCAUUGCCCACAACUGUAUGUCCAUUUAAAACAUUGCAUCUUACUAUAUGGCUUGCCAAAAUUUGCCUCUCUAGUAAUAGAAGAUAAGAAAAACUAAGAAAACAACCUAGAGCUCUGGGUAUAAUACUUUGGUUACGACUCCAUAAUAAAGAAAAGCAAAACAUGCUCAUUUGGUCAUUUAGUAUUUGAUUAAACAGAAUUGUUAACUUUGACAUCAAGAUUAAUGAGAACAACUAAAAUUACCUCCAGCAGAAUGCGUACAAGUUCAGUACUUCCAAAGCGUGCUGCUUCAAGGAAACACUGAUUUACAUUGUCAGCGCCUCCUUCCACCAGCAAUGAUAAAAGGCCCUUAAUGGAGACUGCUGAACUCCCAGAAGACCAUCCAGGUUCAAAUAAACUUGAGAAGAGUGUAAGGGGGAAGCAGACCGCAUCAAAUGCCUCAGUGAAAAUCUUGCCACUUAAGUUGUCACCAGCUAUGUCCAAGAAGGUUCUAAAUGCUGAUAAAUGAAGCUGUACCUCUUGGAGAGUAUUGCAGCUCCAUCUGCACCUAUGUGUGUCCUCAGAACAAUGGUGCAUAUGAAUACACUGUAAAGCCCAUUCCAUAAACUUCUGCACCUUGGCGCCUGCCUCUAUUUUUAGAUGCUCCGCACCAGGACAAUCUCGCAGACGUUCAUGCAAUCUAAAUUUCAACACCAAGAGAAAUAACAUCACUGAUAAUGUAUUAAGCAAUAUAUUCUGAAUAAAAACAUUUAGGUGUGCCAAACAUUUAUAUGUAAGCUGAGAGUCACCUCUCUGCGACGAUCUCCUUGCUAUCACCCACAGUGAUAGCCUUGCUUUGGCAGGCUGCAACACAUGAUGCAAGCAGUGAUGUCCUGAGGAUUGCUCUGGCAAAAUCCUUUGCCCCUGAGGCCACAAUCUUCACUAUCAGACUGUUGAGCCCCUCAAGAUCCCGUUUUGUCCGCAAGAACCAUAUGGCAUCAAGGGCAAUCGACAGGCCAUAAUCCAGCAUCGACUGCUGAUCUGCUAGAUCAACAAGACUUUCAGCAAGGCUCCACUGCCGCGAGAAGAGCACCAGCUGCAGUGAGUGCCCGAAGUCCACCCACCCAUGCUCGUCUAGACCCUGGCUUUGCACGCAACCAUCCGAUUCCUGUGUUUCGUCGUCCCCAUGACUAUGGCUGACGCCGCAUCCUUGGUCGUUCUUAGGCGCCAGCGCUGAUUCCCUUGCGAACACCACCCCACUAGCCUGGCCGAUCUCGUCAGCCUCUACCUCCACGAACGGCGAUUUCUUCGCCUUCGCCCGGAUGCUUCGUGGUUUGCCUUGCUCAAACAUUUGAUGCAAGAAAGGUCCAGGCUGUAAUCCAAUCUCACACCAUUCUGCUCCCUGCUAAAAUAAUCCGGCAACUCCUGAUCAUACACAGCCGAAGAACCCUAAAUCAAGAACAAUACCGCGCCGUUGCCACCAAAACUGUGCCGAUCUGCAAACUCGAAGAGUAGAAAUAGCUAGGCAUUAAUCACAAGCAGGGAUUUGAGAGGAACAGGACAGGAUGACUACGAAACAACUUUUGAGGGGCAGAGAGAUCGAACCUGAAACUUGCAAGAUCGAAGACCAUGCGGGUAGGGGGGGAAAUAUGAAGGAGAAGGGGGAAUCAAACAUGCAAGCAAAAGUGGAAGGAGAUGGGGACAGUAUCUUUAUUUUUCCCCGCGGUGAUUUUGAUGGGGGAGAGAAUAAUAAAGUUCACGGCUGUUGUUGGAAGCAGGGAGGCCGAGAAAUUUCUUCUAAUAUGCAAAAGUCUUCGCUUUGUGUCCAAUAAUAACUAAAAAAAAAGGAUAUCCUAGCUUAGAUCAACUUCAAUGAGCUUCCUUUAUCAUUUUUAAUCGUUAGAAAUAGAGAUUUUAAUUAACAAAAACUCUCCAACAAUUUAUCUUGAUACAUAUUUCUCGCUAGCUAAACAUAAAUAACGAGGUUAACUCUUUAGUGCGAAAAAUAUAGAAAAAUAGUUUUUAUUCAAAGAACACUCCAAAUAAUACUUUAGAUUAGAGAAUGAGUUUUACAUGAACUCAUGGUGAUGCUCUUCAGUCUUGUAAUUUCGUAGGUUUGGUAUAAGACUGUCUUUACGAAUUCAUGCAGAAGUGUUUUUUUUUUGUUCAUGUUCAUAUAGAUGUUCAAAUAAUUUGACAUUUCAAAAUAAUUUGUGUUCUGUAUUGUAAUACACAAAGUGGAUGAUCUGCGCUUGAAUGUUGUAAUGAUUUGUUUUCACGUGAUAUAAUUAGAGUAUGGCGAUUUCAGCUGUCAUGGUUAGGAGAAAUAUCAAAACUAAGUUUUUGAAUGCCAAUCCUCCUUUGAUGUAAUUUUGGUUUAAUUUGAUAAUGAUCUCUUUUAAUUUGUUAGAGCAUCUCCGGUGGUUUGCUAAAAAUCAUUUACCAAAUCUUAUGAUUUGGCAAGUAACUAAAACAUAUAGCAAGUGUAAAUUCUUAGGGUCCUUUUGGUUGGGCUUUUGAACCUGCUUUUGCUUUUGUAAAAGCCAAAAGCCAACCAAAGGGCCCAAAAGCCACAAGUGUUUUUCUCAAAAGCAGCUUUUCUCGUAGUACAAAUCCAAAAGCACCUCACCCCCUGCUUUCACUAACUUUUGGGAUCCGUUCAGUUUUUUUUUUCCAAAAGCCACAAGUGACCAACCAAAUGACUUUUGGGUUUCUCAAAGCCCACAUCCCACAGCAGCUUUUCAAAAGCUCAAAGCUCACAGUAGCUUUUCCAAAAGUCACAGCCCAACCAAACACACCCUUAGUAUCUCCAGUGGUUUGCUAUUUGGGCUUGGUAAAUUAAGAAAAGUAGGCCCACUUCAUCAACUAACUUUGAGUGGACUUCUCCCUGCCCUUCGGCCGUUGAAGUACACGCGAUCUUUCUCCCUGCCCUUCCAGAGCUUGAAGCUGCCGACCUCGACGUGCACGGGGACGUCGGCGCGGAACACGAGCGGCACGGCGCCCGUCCGCUGCGCGUCCUGCAAACCGGACACGACGGCGGUGGCCAGCUGCACCUCCCCGGCCAGCGCCAGCGGCAGCACCGUGGUGUUGCGGUGGCCCUGGUAGAACGCUGGCAGCGCGCCGCGCGCCAGGCGGUACGACCGGUACCACACCCCGAGGCUGGACCCGGGCUCGUACUGGAUGCCGAUCCGGGAGUUCGGGUUCACCGCCGUCACCGUCACGUCGAACCUCGCCCGCGCCGUCACCGUCGACGGGUCGACCUGGAACGCGGACACGGAGAGGCGGUCCACCGAGUACCGCGGCGCCUUGGGGUCGAGCGCUAGGUACAGCGCGCCGACGACCGCCGCGGCGAGCACCGCCAGCACGACCGCGGUGACCACCGCGCAGCAGAGGAGCCGGCAGCAGCAACCCCGGCCGCGCCGCUUCCUCGGCGGCGGCGGAGGUAGCGGCGCCGCUGGCGCGACGCGGCGCGGCGGCGGAGGCAGCGGGCACGCGUCGAGGUCGGCCGUCGAAGUACACGCGGGAACCGACGAUGAAAAUUCACUCGCGCGGGAGAGGAGGCCACGGCGUCCGGAUCUCGCGAUGGCAAGCGGAACGAGCCGCGCAAAUUUGCGCGUCGAUGGCUGCAGAAUGGCAAAUUGCAUUUUUUUGGCAAGUUGAUUAGCAAACCAUUGGAGGGGUCAUUUGUCUAGUUUUGCCAAAUUAUACAAGAUAACAAGUGUGUUUAGCAAACCACUGGAGAUGCUCUUAGAGGCUCUAUAAUUAUAUAGUUUUAUACACCUCAUUUUAGAAACUUUUAUGGUUUAUGUUUAUUAUAUGAAUGAUCACUUGAUUUAAUUUUGGAGCGGUCAACAAUUCUACGCAUUUUAUCAUUUAAUUGAUAUCAUGUAUGUUUGAGUUAAUUUGUGCAUCUUUUUUUGUUGUAUGUGUGAUAUAAUUUAUGCACCUUAUUUAUGUGGAAGUGGCUUCCUGUUCCUAUAUGUAAGACUAUUUUACUAUUAUUGAUUGAUGCGUGCAAAUAUAGAUAAACUAAUACUUUCAUGUCUGAAAUGUGCACAUAUUUUGUGCAUUUGCCAUGUAACCUAAAACCAUGCAAAAGAAGGUAAAAUAAUGCUCAAAAGGAAACACAUACAAACUGAACAUCCGUGGAACAUGUAAUGAAACACUGAACUCUGUAUAUGCUUAAGGUAAAUUUCACGUCCAAAGCCAAAAUGAUCCUUUUGGUCCCCUGCCUAACAGGCUAACACCGAGGGAAAGGCCACCAAAAGGAUGAAAGAUAGAUUUAGGGUAAAGUAGGUAAGUUUAAAACUAUCAAAGGCCAUGAAAGGAAGGCUUAGUUUUAAGAUCCAUAUAGGGAAUCUUAUCUUAUCUUAUACUUUUAUAAAGCAAAAUCUCACUACUUAUUUCUCAGCACACAAGUUGUCUAACUAGAUAGUUCACUAUCACACACAAUUAAAAUACAUUAGCCCAUGUAAUUGUAAUGUCCACGUCAGCAAGUCAUCAUUUCUCAGAACAUACAAGCUAUCUAACUAGACAAUCCAAUAUCACACACAAUUAAAAUCUACUAGCUCAUGUAAUUGUAAUAUCCAUAUUAGUAAGACACAUAACUAUUUUGUUGUCAAAAUCAUCAUACGACGCAAAUCCACUAAUCUAUAAUCCCCACAACAACACACGUAGUAUUCUUCUCGUUUUAUCUAUAUUAAAUCUAACCUCACUUACAAUCAAGCUUAAUUCACAUAACUUUACUCCUAAAAUCCAUUAUACAAGCUCCACACUAAACUUAAUUAGGGUAUUACUCCACCUUGGAGGCCUAAACCAACACAAACCCGUGUGAGUACAGCCUGUGACAUACUGUCAAUCAGCAAACAGUACUUCUAUGGCUUAUCAGCCAAGUGAACAGAGAUACAUAAUCGAUUUUUGAUAGUUAACAUCAGAAUAAAAAGCAUUACUCAAUACCACUAAAAUGAGUAAAGAACAUUGGCUAAAGUCAUGGUAUUCUUAGGAUGCAACUAAAAAAUUACAUAUGACGACAUUAAGAAAUAAAUCAUAAUAAUGCUUGUAAAUAUUUAUACACUGUGCACUGGCAUGUACAUUCAUAUAUUCACUUAGAUCAACCUUAUGGUUUCUUGUUCCGUUGUUGAUUCUCUUUGUCGACGUUUUAUUUUAUCAAAAAAGUCAUAUAGUAUAGGAUAUUUAAAGUUUUAAUUUAUAAACAUUUAUUUUAAUGAUAUAUUGUCACCGGCUAUGUUAGGCAAUAUUAUAUAGCAGCUCAACGAUACAGUACACGACACAUAUGUAUCAUUCUUCUUGUCGAGGGUAUCAGGGGUACCCAAGCUGACAUACAUAACGGGAUUGCCCAUACACAAUUCGAGGCCUCCUACUCGACGCUGUGCCCAGUCACGUGUACUGUCAUCGACGACCGCAGCCUCGAAGACGGAAAGGGCGUCCAGCGAAUCGGUCAGGGCUCGAGCGCCGGCUACCGUCGAAUACGGAAACAGGCUCGAGCGAAUCGGAAGACGUCGAGCGCAAGGACGCCGCCCGCCGCCUGACGCGGGCACGGGAACUAGGGCAUUUAAUACGCCUGUCGCGAUCUCACCUAACACGCCAGUCACGGAAAGCGUGAUAGGGAACAAGCACCCGUCCCGUCAUUCUUUUUGCAGCCUUCCUUACCAAAUAACCCAGAACGUGUCAGGAUGCAGGAAGCAUGGUCGGAACGUCUAAUCAAGACCCCCUCGAGACGUCCAAGGUCAGCGCUUGGGCCACAAGGCGUUGCACGGCCACCAACCCUCGACCAGACACAUUUCCUUCCUGGGGAAGGGUUGGGCGUCGAAUGACGACACCACAGCCGCUCCGACGUAUCCGCCGCCGUGACGUGCCGGCGUGCAGCAGACAAACCUGCCCAAGGCGGCGUACAGAGCAGAAUACAGGGGCACGCGUAAUCAUCAUCAAGCUACCAGGACGGGACGGCUCGAAACCACGCCGGUACGGAGGCCUCGAGUAGGGCAGCGCGCCAUGCCCCUAUCGACCUCUACUCCAAACGCCUACACAUGUACCCUAGGCCCCUCCUUGGAACUAUAAAAGGGGAGGCCUGGGAGCGAUCACACAACAACACAACACUCAAGCCACACAUAGUAGAGCUUCCAUACUCCAUCUCCCUCCAUACCACGCUUGUAUUCACCCCUGUACAAGCACUUAGGUGCAAAAUAAUACAAACUCUCCCCCUCCCGCUGGACGUAGGGCCUUCUCUUGCCCGAACCAGGAUAAAUCUUUGUGUCUUUUUGCAUCACCAUCUGGAAAGGGGAGCACGCAUACAAAUUCACUAGUUGGUGUGACCCCCCGGGGGAAAACACCGACAGUUGGCGCGCCAGGUAGGGGUCCUGCGUAUUUUUCACUGAUUUCCCAUUCCUUUCCAGAUGGCCACUCUCACUUCGCCGAUUCCGCGCUCCACGGUGAUUUGGUUUGGGAGUCUCGAGUUCAUGUCUACUGGCUCCGGCUAUGACAUGAUCUUGCUCUCGAUCAAAGGACCGGGAGGAGCCCGCGUUGCGUCAGCACGGUCGAGGGCCCCGAGACGCCCUCGCCAUCACGCCUCCCCACCCAAGAGGAGGCGUGGACACCACCACCGUCGCCUUUCUGCCUCGUCACGACCGACAGUUUGUGCCAGGCAGGAGGAGACACGGGAGUCGACAGCACCGCACACCGGAACCGUGGGCAUGACGGCUCAGCACCGCGAGGAUCACGCGACGACAGGAGGUGACGCGCCCCGUGCGCUCUCCCCCACCGCCAGGCUACUGCCACAUGGGCUGUUCGCUCCAAGAAGAGCGUUGCCGUUCAGUUUGGACAAUGCCGUGGCAUCGCUCGCCAGGGCAAUAUGUCCAAACGCCUAGACGUACGUGGAGAGACCAAUGGUCCUCCCGCGCGCCCCUGGAGCACAACGACUGACGUCCGAGCUGCCGGAUUUCUCCCAGGUGCGAGGUCUCUGCCGCCUAGGCCCUGGGCGAUACACGAUUACCUCUCUCAGGCAGCGGCUGCUGGAGGAAGGACGCGGAUGCUUCUACGCCGCCGAACCAGACUCCGGCUCGAAAUCUGACAGCUACGACCCUACUAGAGAGUGCUUUCAUAUCAACGGGGCAGUGGAGACCACCGAUGAGACACAGGACGCUGUUGCUGGCGGUCGAGCCCCUGCAGCAAGGGAAGACCCCAGGACGCCUGGGAACGACGGACAGGUCGACCCACCUCCACAGGAAGACAGAGCCGCACAACUUGCGCAGCUACGAGAGCUCAAGACAAAACUUGACGAAGAUCGUGAGUGCCUCGUCCUGCUCGAACAGAUCCUUGAGCAGGACCUGCCUUACCCACCUGGCGAAAGUGUCCGCAGAAGGGCUCGAGAGGUGCAUCGACAGAUCGUUGGGGACGGGGAGCGAGAACAACCUGUCAGCCGCUUCCCUUGAGCAGGCCAGAAUGUUGUGGCAGCAACGAUGCUGUUGCGCAACAUGCCCGAGCCCUCGAACUCCCAAGCACGGCGCAUCCGAGACGAGGUGCAGACUCUGCUCCAGGUGGCGGCGGUUCAGCAAGCAGAGAGCUCGGCCUCCCAACGUCGAGGGGCAGCUACUGAAAAGCGUGACGAGCCAGCCCAAAACGAAAGGAGGUGUCGGUCCAUCAGCAGCCACCUCCUUGAGGGAAAAAGACCGCACUCGUCCUCCCCGUCGACAACCAACGUCGACACGACGCGCGACGCGACAUCGACGAGAAUUGACGCCGUCGGUAUGGGGACGCAGAGGAGCGCGGUUACAGCGCCCAUCGCGGUGGAAGGUACGACAGCGAUGAGGACCGGAUGGCCCCGGAGCCGCCAGGCCCGCGGGUGUUCAGCAGGGCAAUCCGCAGCACGCCGCUGCCCAGCCCAUUCCGACCCCCGACCAGCAUCGCAAAGUACAACGGCGAGACCAAGCCGGAGCUGUGGCUGGCAGAUUUCAGGCUGGCCUGUUAGCUAGGAGGCGCUCGGGGGGACGAUCGAGCCAUCAUCAGACAGCUGCCGCUCUUCCUCUCUGACACCACCCGCAGAUGGCUCGAGGAGCUCCCGACCAACCAGAUCCACGAUUGGGUCGAUUUGGUCAGGGUGUUUGAGGGGAAUUUCAAAGGAACCUACAUACGACCCGACAACUCGUGGGAUCUCAGCAAGUGCAAGCAGAAGUCAGGAGAGACGCUUCGAGAGUACGCUCGACGCUUCUCGAAGCAACGCACCGAGCUGCCGCACAUCCCCGACCACAACGUCAUCCUGACCUUUGUCUCUGGUACCACCAGUCGAGACUUGAUGCGGGAAUUAGGCCGGAAUCGUCCUCAGACCGUCGACGAGCUGAUGGACGUAGUGGCAAACUACGCUGCUGGGGAAGAAGUGGUGGGCGCCUUCUUCAGCUGUGAAGGAAGGAGGGGCAAGCAGCCCGCCGAUGACGACGAGGGUCCCAGUAGAGGACCCAAGAAGAACAAGAAGAAGAAGAAAACACGGCCGUUCUAGCGGGAAGACCUUGACGACGAACUCGUCGCCGCCAUGGAACGCAAGAGGCCUCGAGGCCCUCCAGAGGGGGGCAUUUUCGAUAAGAUGCUAAAGGAGCCAUGCCCUUACCACAAGGGAGGGGCAAACCACAAGCUCGAGGACUACCGUAUGCUGAAAAAGCAUUUCGAUGGUCUAGGGUUCAAGAAGGACGCCCGCGACGACCCAAAGAAAGAGAAGAGCGGCGACGAAGGGGACGACAAAGACGAUGACGGUUUCCCAGCCGUUCACGACUGCUACAUGAUCUAUGGUGGACCUUCGACGCAGUUAACCGCGAGGCAACGCAAAAGGGAACGCCGUGAGGUCUUCGCGGCAAGAAUGGCGGUGCCCCAGUACCUCAGCUGGUCGAGCACCCCCAUCACCUUCGAUCGAGAGGACCACCCCGACAAGGUAGUUGCCCCUGGCGUCUACCCGCUCGUCGUUGUUGGUAUUUGGGAACGCAAUUAGGAAUUGAUUCGCAAGCGCACGGAUAUCGGUGAGCACUUCACUCGGGAGGUUAUCCAGAGUAUCGUAUUUAUUUUUUUACCACUAGGAGAAAGAGUGCAUCUGACUAACCGGUCUAUUACUACUAACCCUUUAGGCAACAAAGAAUGUCUCUCGAUGUGAGUGAUAAAUAGAGAAGACUACAACCGUAAUCUCCUUCUAACCUUGGUAAGGAUGAUCUACUGUUCAAUUGGGGAGGCUAACGGAAUCUAGACACCACAAAGGAUGUUCAACCCGCACCUAUAAACCCUAUCCUUCCUGCUAACGAGAUAUGGUCUGCAAAGGUAACUCAGAAAUGUCACGUUCUUCACUACUACCACGGUCUAGUUAGUCAGGGAAUAUCUAUAAGUACCCCAGCCUAAACACCACGUUUACGCCAGCAAUGAUUACUCUAAACUCUACGCGAAGAGAUUAAAGUAAACUCAUAAACCAAAAGAACAAUAAAACAAGAACUUACUAGAAUUUAGAAGUCGAAAUACUGAAGAAUCCUAGGAGCAACCUUCGGGUUAGGAGAACUUGAUCCCGCAGGUACAAGCUUGGAGUAGACACCGACAGGCCGGGCUUCCUCCAAUCUACACCUCCACUCUGUCUCUCUCAAUCUAGUAGAAACUAGAAGAUCUAUUUCUACUUUACAUUGGUUGCUAAGCCUAAAAAGAAAUAUUAUUUAGAGAAGAGGUUUUCCUUCGAGGGCACCCCUCAAUCUCUAUGAUAACUUCUUGUCUCCUCCAGGGGCCAGGGGGGUCUCCUUAUAUAGUCCUCCUCUAUGCAUUUUUGGGUUGGUAGGCGUUGUGGUACUACGUUAUCCUUGAUCCAUUAGGUCGGUGGAACAUCGUGUGCGAAGAGAGUCCCAAACGGAGUACAGGAGGGGGCGGGUGCCCUGGGCCUGGCCCCUUUCGGCCUCUACUUUCUUCCUGUGGCAUAUGGAGUCUUCUAGAUGGUAGAAAAUUGCGCGGUGCGUUGAUAUCUCUAUGUAAUACCGACAUGUGGGCCUUUCUUCCUUAUUUCCUGAUAACCCCCUGCAGAAACAGAUAAACAACAAAACUCAUGGAAUUCUGUCAGAUCAAACCCUAAUUCUAGGUGUUGGUUGCAUAUUGGUCCUUUCUCUUAUUUAUUUGAUAAUUAAAAUUGAUACUUAAGAACCGUCAACAAAUACCCCCAUACUUAGGCUUUUACUCGUCCUCGAGAAAAGGAUGGUUAAGAACAAUAUUUGGGGUAAAACAUUUUAAAACAUUCUUUUCAUAACUGCAGGGUGUUAAAAUUCCACUGUGUACUAUAGUCAGGGAAGUAUAUAGUUAAGAGUAAAGAUCCUUUCUUCUCAAUCCUGUCACUUGGAGUUUUUGUAUAUUUUUGAAAAAAAGUUAGCAUACCUUUUUAUCCUCAUAGGUUCUCUCAGAUCACUCAUUAUCUUUUAUAUAUCUCACUGAGGUUGUUUUAAUUUGCAAAAAUUCUCAAGCAUACUUACUUUGUAUUUAUUGCCUGAUCAAAACAGGAUCCGAGGAGGGGAAUGUCAUACUCUUAGAUCAAAGACUUUGGAAAUUAAAAUCUUUGUCAACUCUUGCUGGCAUAUUGCUUAUUAGAGGGACCAUGGGCUAUCAUUUUCUUUUUCUCUCUCUUUUUUUUAAGUGGAUACCGAGGUACCCCUAAUUCUACUGCCGGACACUUGUCCAUUUUUUUCUGCGAGGUUGUCGAGCACUUGCUCCUUUUUAUUUCCUCGAAAUAUCUUUAUUUUUGCAUAGCCCAUGCCUCUAAUGCAAUAAUACUUCGGAAGAGUGAAUCUUUCUGAAUAAAUGUCUUGAUCUUAGGAGCAUGAUAAAUCUCUCAACAAGGGUCUAACUCAUUUUGAACAAACUCAAUACAGAGUAGAUAGCUUUUAUGAUUAUUUUUUUCAGUUUUAUCAGGCAUAUAAAACACUGAGGAUGGUAGCUAGAAUUAAUUUUGAAAUAAAUUCUCCAAGCAACAAUGAUAUCAAGAAUAAGAAACUCAUACUCUACCAUCUCUCAUUUCAUACUGUCUUAAGUAACACAGGGUUUUAAAAUGAUUUUAUAAUAGUUACAAGUUUUUGGUGACUAAGAUGCAUUGCCUCAAGGUCUAAUCUAGAUAACUUAGCGGCGCUCUAAUUCCUUAAUCUUCUUGUUGGUACUGGCAAGAUCAUGCCUAAGGCCUAGUAUAACAGUGUUGUGGUUAGAGAGCUGCCUAGUGAGAGAAUUAAUCGAGGACUGGAGGUCUAUGAUAACUCUGUCUAGUCUGCGAACGUCCUCAUCAAUAUCCAUUAUAGUUUUGCGACGCUUGGGAGGUGUCUCAAAAGCAUUGAGAGCAUGCUUCGGGGCUGCCUUUGGAAGCAUGAAACGGACUUUGGCUGCUCUAAUCCCUUCGAAGUAAGGCCUCUCCUCCUCCGUAGUGUAGCGAAUGCUGCUGAUCUCGCCGCUCCGGUUGGUCUUAACUCCAACGACCCUCUCAUUGGGUCUAGGUGGAAGGAUCCUUCUGCCGGUUGGCACCUUGAUGGUGGUCUUCGUCUUGGAUGAUGAUCCCUUGAGGAGUAGGGGUUGUGGUGGUGCGGUGAGAACUGGUUGAGCAUGGCAGGAUUGGGCGGAGCUGCGUUGGCAUAAUGGCAUGGCUUCUAGCUGUCGCUCUGUGUUGGCCGGGACAAGAGCACGAGCAUCGGGGUCUUCCACAGGCUCCAUGUUGAGGUUGAAGGGGACGACUUCCCAAUCAUCGUGGAACUUCUCGGCCAUUGGAGCAGCAAGGAACUAAUCAAGCUCUAAUUGAAGAAGAGGAGAAGGCUUGGUGGUUUGGUGUUUGAAAACUGAUGUCAGGGGUCUAUUUAUAUAGGGGUCAAAAAGUGCCUCUAGGGGUUGUUCGGGUUCCUCCCUGUCGAUGUGCGUGCGAAACUUUCCAUCUGAGGGAUUAUUCGAAUUACCAUAAGUGCAUUUUCCAUAACAGAGAAAAUCGGGACCGAGGAGGAACAGGAGCUGGGCGCCCGCCCACCUAAUCUGGGCGCCCGCCCUCUCUCUGGCCCCUCUGUGGGCCCACUUUCUCGAGCGCGUUUCUAGAUGCAAAACUAUUUAGAAAAAUAUAUAUAUGACCCAAAAACAUCAGACUAAAAAGGUCGGGCUCUAAUUCUCCAUGGGAAGGUAAAAAUGGACUACGUCUAUUUCUUCUAAUUCUUUAUUGGGCUCUAAAAAUAAUUUAAGGCAUUGACCAUUUACCUUGAAUAACGUACCUUCGUCAUUUUGAAGUGUGAUAGCUCCGUGGGAUGAUGAAUUAAUUACCUUGAAUGGUCCUUCCCAUUUGCUCCGGAGUUUCCCAUGCCCGAAAAGCUUCACCCUGGAAUUAAAAAGCAAUACCUUAUCUCCGGGUGUGAACUCCUUCUUCUUGAUUCUCUUGUCAUGCCACCUUUUGACUCUUUCUUUAUAGAUCUUCGAAUUGUGAUAUGCUUUCUCUCGCCAUUCUUCCAAUUCUGAUAGUUACAUUCUUCUAUGAUCUCCAGCAACAUCUAGGUCUAUAUUCCAUCUCUUUAUGGCCCAGUGUGCUUUGGACUCUAGUUCAACAGGUAGGUGGCAAGUCUUCCCGUACACCAGUUGGUAUGGAGACAUUCCAAUUGGGGUCUUGUAUGCUGUCCGGUAUGCCCAGAGUGCAUCGGGUAACUUGUCUUUCCACGCCGUUCCCAUUUCAUUUACUGUCUUCUGAAGAAUAUUCUUGAUUUGUUUGUUAGAAGUCUCUGCUUGGCCACUUGUGUGAGGAUGAUAGGGAGUAGCGACGUUGUGACGGAUUCCAUGUUUUGAUAGAUAUUGCUUGUAGCGUUUGUCGAUGAAGUGUGUUCCUCCAUCACUUAUCACUACUCUGGGGACUCCAAAUCUUGGAAAUAUAAUUUCUUCUAACAUCCUCUUUGAACUGAUGUUGUCGGCAUGCUUACAAGGUAAUGCCUCUACCCACUUGGAGACAUAGUCAACUGCCACCAAGAUGUACUCACACUUCUUUGAUGGAGGAAAUGGACCCAUGUAGUCUAUUCCCCAGACAUCAAAGAGCUCGAUCUGAAGGUUGUUGGUGAGUGGCAUUGCAUCCCUUGUAUUUAUGUUUCCGUGCCUUUGACAUGGCCCACAUCUUCUGAUAUAUUGCUUCGUGUCUUCAUACAUUAUAGGCCAGUAGAAUCCACACUGCCAGAUCUUUGAAUGUGUACAGAAUGCUCCAUAGUGACCUCCAUAUGGUGAUGAAUGACAUCUGCGAUGAUCUUCCAUCCUUCCUCAGUGGUCACACAUCUCCUGAGUAAGCCAUCAGAGCAUACUCGAAAGAGGUAUGGCUCAUCCCAUAUAUGUGAACGACUUUCUUGAAUAAGCUUCUUCUUGUUUGCUCCUGGUGGUACAUACCCUGAAACCAUAAAAUUAACAAUAUCUGCAUACCAGGGGUCAGACCUGUUAAUCCCGUAGAGCAUGUCGUCCCGGAGUGAAUCAUUGAUGGGAGUUUCCUGUGGAUUCUUAAAAUACAUUCUAGACAAGUGAUCAACAACAGAAUUUUCUACUCCCUUUUUAUCUUUUAUUUCUAAGUCAAAUUCUUGGAGUAAUAAGAUCCAUCUAAUCAAGCGAGGUUUAGCAUCUUUUUUAGUGAGCAAAUAUUUUAGUGCAGCAUGAUCAGUGUAAACAAUUAUUUUAGCUCCAACUAAAUAAGAUCUAAAUUUAUCAAUGGCAAAGACAACAACCAGAAGCUCUUUUUCAGUAGUUGCAUAAUUAAGUUGAGCUCCUGUCAAAGUUUUACUGGCAUAAGCAAUUGCAUGAUGCUUCUUAUUUUUAGUUUGUCCCAAAACUGCCCCCAGAGCAUAAUCACUAGCAUCACACAUAAUUUCAAAAGGCAACGACCAAUCAGGGGGUUGAAUGAAUGGUGCAGAGAUGAGUGCUUUCUUUAAUAAAUUGAAAGAUGUUAACAUGCAUCAUCAAAUUUAAAAGGAGCAUCCUUGGCUAGCAAAAGAGUAAGUGGUCUAGCAAUAAAUGAAAAAUCUUUUAUGAAUAUACGAUAGAAACCAGCAUGGCCAAGAAAGCUUCGAAUUCCUCUUAUGUCCACAGGUGGAGGUAGUUGUUCAAUUACUUCAAUUUUAGCUUUAUCUACCUCAAUACCUCUUUCAGACACUAAGUGUCCCAGCACUAUUCCUUCCCUAACCAUGAAAUGACAUUUUUCCCAAUUAAGGACUAAGUGCUUUUCUUCACACCUUUGCAAAACCUUGUCUAAGUUUUCAAGACAACUAUCAAAAGUUUUUCCAUAAACAGAGAAAUCAUCCAUAAAAACUUCCAUAAUCUCUUCAAUCAUAUCAGAAAAUAUAGACAUCAUGCAUCUUUGAAAAGAAGCUGGUGCAUUACAUAACCCAAAAGACAUUCUACGGUAAGCAUAAGUUCCAUAUGGGCAUGUAAAAGUGGAUUUGCUUUGAUCAUCAGGAUGGAUCGGGAUCUGAUGAUACCCUGAAUAUCCAUCUAAGAAACAGAAGAACGAAUGGUUUGCUAACCGCUCUAGCAUCUCAUCUAUGAAAGGUAAAGGAAAGUGAUCCUUUCUCGUGGCUUUGUUUAGUUUUUUAUGGUCUAUGCACAUCCGGCAUCCUGUGACGGUGCGUUGCGGAAUUAGCUCGUUCUUUUCAUUCAUAAUAACAGUCAUGCCUCCCUUUUUAGGCACAACUUGUACUGGGCUUACCCACUCACUGUGCGGCACAGGAUAUAUAAUCCCUGCAUGCAGCAACUUUAUAACUUCCUUUUUAACUACCUCUCUCAUAGUGUUGUUAAGUCUACAUUGGGGUUCUCGAGAAGGUGAAACAGAAGGAUCUGUUGGAAUAUGAUGGGUACAAAUCAUAGGACUGAUUCCUGUAAGAUCUUGGAGUGAGUAGCCGAAAACUGAGUGAUGUUUCUCAAGAAUGGUCAUUAAUCGCAAAGUUUGCUCCUGAGUGAGUUUAUCACUAAUGAUCACAGGAAACUCUGGAUUAUUGUUUAGGAAAGCAUAGAUAAGACCAGGUGGUAAAGUUUUAAGCUCUAUGUGGGGUCUAGGUGUUUCUGCAAACUCAUCUAAGGGUUCAGGUUCAGAGGGUUCGGCUUCUUCUUCUAUGAAGAAAGGAGUUUCGUCUUCUAAGUCUGAUUCUUCUAAAAGUUCAAGAGAUGCAGCCUUUACCUCCUCUAUAGGAUCAGGCAAAAGAUAUGACUCGACCUUAUUAUUUAAGGAGUGUGAAAUUGUUAUUGGGAAUUUAAAGGCUUUUCCAAAAGAAAUGUGUAGCUUUCCAGUAUGACCUUCAUAAAGGAGUCUUCUAAAAGGUUGUCCUAUCAACAAGUCGAAGUCCCAUGUAUCAAAGAUAUAGAAGUUCAAAUGAACCAUGGAGCCUUCUACCGUAAGAGGUAGGACAUUAAUAAUUCCAAGACUGGGGACUAAUCGUCCCGAAGAUUCCUUUAUGACCUUUGUUGUGGGGGUUAAGGCAAGAUUUUUAAAUAGUUUAAGUGCAAAAGAUUCAGACAUGAUGUUGAUCCCCACAACAGGAUUAUAAAGAGCAUUAAAUCGAUCAGAAUUAUAAGCACAGCGUAUAGUUAUAGAGGGUGUGUCUAAACGGAUCACAUCAGAGGAAAGCUCUGAUUCCUCCAACCAUUCGCUACUCAUGACUGAGAUAAGCUCUCUCAAUUGAUAUUCACUUGGCAAAUAAAUGCUAAACUGGCCAUUUUGGGGUUUGUCAAUAGAAUGGUAGUUUGAAAUGUUUCCAAAGUCGGCAAAAAGAUCGGAUUCUAUAUCCAGCAUGAAGUCCGGUGGUGGAAUUUCUUCCUCUUUUGGCUCAGAACUUGGGAUAGCUAAAGUAGAUGAAGAAUUUGGCAGAGUGUCUACUUCGGCUUCGUAGGUUUCAUCAUGAAGGGUAUUAUCCAUCUCAGCUUCUAGGAUUCUAUCUAGGAUCACUCUAGCUUCAUCAGUAGGGAUGCGAAAGAAAGAACCUCUAGACAUUGUGUGUAGCAUUUGUUUGUGAUUUUUCUUAAGACCUCGAAAAAAGUGAAGUAAAAGAACAGGGUCUUCAAGAUUAAGGUUUGGACCAGAUUCUAAAAGAUCAGAAAAACGUUUCCAGGAUUUUCCCAAAGUUUCAUUAUCUUUUUGUUUAAAAGAUAGGACUUCGAGUCUAAGGUCGGCUAUACGGUCGAGGGAAUAGAUAUCUAGACAAAAGUUGGCUCAUAAAACUCCCCAUUCACCUCGUUGUUGACUUACCUUCUGACUGUACCAUUGUCUAGCUUGUCCCCUUAAAGAAAAAGGAAAAAGCUUCCAACGUAAAGUUUUAUCAGAAAUGCCUUCAAUGCGAAGACAAUCACAUGUUUGCUCAAAAUCUCUAAUAUGAAGGUAAGGGUUUUCGUCUUCCUUUCCCGAAUAAGAUAGGUUUUGAAUCAUGGCAAUCAACCUAGAACUUAACUUAUACUGGGAUGUUUGGAUAGGCUGUGAUGACUCCCAUGGUAAAAGGUCAGUUACUGAAGGGAUUGCAGACUCAUGGAUCGAUUUAGAAUUUUGGUUUUCCAUAAGGUUAGAGUAAAGAAAAUAAAUAAAGAAUAUAAAAGAUAAAAAAAGAUAAAAGUAUUGAUACAAACUAGUAGUAAGACUCAAGGUUAUCUCAGCAAACCGUCUUUCUCCCCGGCAACGGCGCUAGAAAUGCUUGUUGAUAUUUGGGAACGCAAUAAGGAAUUGAUCCGCAAGCGCACGGAUAUCGGUGAGCACUUCACCCGGGAGGUUAUCCGGAGUAUCGUAUUUAUUUUUUACCACUAGGAGAAAGAGUGCAUCUGACUAACCGGUCUAUUACUACUAACCCUUUAGGCAACAAAGAAUGUCUCUCGAUGUGAGUGAUAAAUAGAGAAGACUACAACCGUAAUCUCCUUCUAACCUUGGUAAGGAUGAUCUACUGUUCAAUUGGGGAGGCUAACGGAAUCUAGACACCACAAAGGAUGUUCAACCCGCACCUAUAAACCCUAUCCUUCCUGCUAACGAGAUAUGGUCUGCAAAGGUAACUCGGAAAUGUCACGUUCCUCACUACUACCACGGUCUAGUUAGUCAGGGAAUAUCUAUGAGUACCCCAGCCUAAACACCACGUUUACGCCAGCAAUGAUUACUCUAAACUCUACGCGAAGAGAUUAAAGUAAACUCAUAAACCAAAAGAACAAUAAAACAAGAACUUACUAGAAUUUAGAAGUCGAAAUACUGAAGAAUCCUAGGAGCAAGCUUCGGGUUAGAGAACUUGAUCCCGCAGGUACAAGCUUGGAGUAGACACCGACAGGCCGGGCUUCCUCCAAUCUACACCUCCACUCUAUCUCUCUCAAUCUAGUAGAAACUAGAAGAUCUAUUUCUACUUUACAUUGGUUGCUAAGCCUAAAAAGAAAUAUUAUUUAGAGAAGAGGUUUUCCUUCGAGGGCACCCCUCAAUCUCUAUGAUAACUUCUUGUCUCCUCCAGGGGCCAGGGGGUCUCCUUAUAUAGUCCUCCUCCUCUAUGCAUUUUUGGGUUGGUAGGCGAUGUGGUACUACGUUAUCCUUGAUCCAUUAGGUCGAUGGAACAUCGUGUGCGAAGAGAGUCCCGAACGGAGUACAGGAGAGGGCGGGCGCCCACGUCCUCAGGGCGGGCGCCCUAGGCCUGGCCCCUUUCGGCCUCUGCUUUCUUCCCAUGGCUUCUAGAGUCUUCUAGAUGGUAGAAAAUUGUGCGGUGCGUUGAUAUCUCUAUGUAAUACCGAUAUGUGGGUCUUUCUUCCUUAUUUCCUGAUAACCCCCUGCAGAAACAGAUAAACAACAAAACUCGUAGAAUUCUGUCAGAUCAAACCCUAAUUCUAGGUGUUGGUUGCAUAUUGGUCCUUUCUCUUGUUUAUUUGAUAAUUAAAAUUGAUACUUAAGAACCGUCAACAGUCGUCGACCCCAUCAUCGUCAACACCCGGCUCUCAAAGGUACUGAUGGACGGCGGCAGCAGCCUCAACAUCAUCUACCUUGAGACCCUCGACCUCUUGGGCAUCAAUAGGGCACAGCUCCAACCAAGCGUCGGUGGCUUCCAUGGUGUCGUACCAGGAAAGAAGGCGUUGCCGGUAGGUCGAAUCGACCUAUCAGUUUGCUUUGGCACGACGGCCAACUUCAGAAAGGAGACCCUCACCUUUGAGGUGGUGGGUUUUUGAGGCACGUACCACGCCAUCAUCGGGCGCCCGGGUUAUGCCAAAUUCAUGGCCAUCCCCAACUACACCUACUUGAAGCUGAAGAUGCUCGGUCCCAAGGGCGUCAUCACCGUCAGCUCCUCUUUUGAGCACGCAUACGAGUGCGACGUCGAAUGCGUCGAGUAUGGAGAAGCAGUCGAGAGUUCCACCAAACUCGCAUCGAAGCUCGAGGCCCUGGCCGCAGAGGCUCUAGAGCCUAAGCGCCACGCGGGCAGCUUCGAGCCAGCAGAAGGAACAAAGAAGAUCCCGCUCGACCCCUACAACUCCGACGGCAAGGUGCUGACGAUCAGCGCCGACCUCGAUCCCAAAUAGGAAGCUGUGCUCGUCGACUUUCUCCGUGCAAACGCCGACAUGUUUGCAUGGAGUCCCUCGGACAUGCCGGGCAUACCGAGGGAAGUCGCCGAGCACUCCUUGGAAAUUCGAGCCGGUUCCAAGCCAGUGAAGCAACGGCUGCGCCGCUUCGACGAAGAGAAGCGCAAGAUCAUUAGCGAGGAAAUCCAUAAGCUUUUGACGGCCGGAUUCAUCAAGGAGGUUCACCAUCCCGACUGGUUAGCAAACCCUGUACUAGUUAAGAAAAAGAAUGGGAAAAUGAGGAUGUGUGUCGAUUAUACAAGUUUAAAUAAAGCAUGUCCGAAAGUUCCUUUUCCUUUACCACGUAUCGAUCAAAUUAUUGAUUCUACUGCAGGAUGUGAAACUCUUUCUUUCCUUGAUGCAUAUUCUGGUUACCAUCAAAUAAAAAUGAAAGAGUCCGACCAGCUCGUGACAUCUUUCAUUACGCCUUUUGGGAUGUAUUGUUAUGUAACCAUGCCGUUCGGACUUCGAAACGCGGGAGCUACAUAUCAGCGCUGCAUGCUCCACGUGUUUGGCAAGCACAUAGGGUCGACGGUCGAGGCCUAUGUCGACGACAUCGUCGUCAAGUCAAAGCGACGGGGAGACCUGAUCCAGGACCUCGAGAUCGCCUUCAGCUGCCUACGCGCCAACCAGAUCAAGCUCAACCCCGAGAAAUGCGUUUUUGGCGUACCUCAAGGCAUGCUCCUGGGUUACAUCGUUUCCCAGCGCAGCAUUGAAGCCAACCCCGAGAAAGUCUCGGCCAUCACGAGAAUGGGGCCAAUCCGAGACGUCAAGGGCGUGCAGAGAGUCACGGGAUGCUUAGCGGCGCUGAGCCGUUUUAUCUCGAGGUUGGGAGAAAAGGCGUUGCCACUAUAUCGACUUCUGAAGAAAGUCGAGCGUUUCUCUUGGACCCUAGAGGCCGAGGAAGCCCUCGAUUACUUGAAGAAAAUGCUAACCUCUGCACCAGUCCUAGUCCUGCCUCAACCCGCAGAACCUCUGCUUCUAUACGUCGCCUCAACGACCCAGGUCGUUAGUGCAGCAGUAGUGGUCGAGAGGCAGGAAGAGGGGCAUGCGCUGCCAGUCCAGAGGCCAGUCUAUUUCAUCAGCGAGGUGCUUUCGGAGACCAAGGCGCGUUACCCGCAAAUCCAGAAGCUAAUCUACAUCGUAAUCCUCGCCCGACGCAAGCUGCCGCACUACUUCCUCGGCCACCCUAUCACGGUGGUCUCGUCUUUCCCCUUGGGCGAGAUCAUCCAGAGCCGGGAGGCCACAGGAAGAAUCGCCAAGUGGUCGGUCGAGCUCAUGAGCUAGACCCUCACCUAUGCGCCCCGAAAAGCCAUCAAGUCACAAGCCCUGGUGGAUUUCGUCGCGGAGUGGACGGACUCCCAACUCCUCACGGCUCAGGUCCAGGUGGAGCUGUGGACGAUGUAUUUCGACGGGUCUCUCAUGAAAAUGGGAGCAGGGGUGGGCCUGCUAUUCAUCUCGCCCUUGGGUGUUCAUAUGAGGUGUUGACGGUCCUUAAGUAUCAAAUUUAAUUAUCAAAUAAACAAAGAAAAGGAUCCAAAUGAAAUCAACAUCUAGACUUAGGGUUUUAUCUGACAGAAUUCCAUGAGUUUUGGUGUUUGUCUAUUUCUGCAGGGGGUUAUUAGAGUAGGGUGAGAGAGAAGGCAAUGUCAUUAUGCUUUAUACCACAAAUACCACAUAUUUUGAGAGAAGGCAUAUACCAUCAUUGCCUUGGUAAGGAUCCAGAAACACCACAAAAGAGAGAUUUGAGAGAAUCAUACAAGGAAUCUCUGAGUUUUAUUUGAAAAUCUGCAAAAAUUCUAGAGCUAUAUGUUGACGGUCCUUAAUGCUCAUAUUUAACCAUCAACUAAUCAUGGAAAAGGAUCCAAAUGCAACCAACACCUAGACUUAGGGUUUUAUCUGACAGAAUUCCACAAGUUUUGGUGUUUGUCUAUUUCUGCAGGGGGUUAUCAGUAAAUAUGGAGGAAAGGCCCACACGUCGGGUUUACAUAGAGAUAUUAACGUGCCGCGCAAUUUUCUAUCAUCUAGAAGACUCCAGAAGCCACGGGAACGAACGGGAAGGAAAUCGGGCUCGGAGGCAGGGCGCCCGCCCAACUCUCCUGGGCGCCCGCCCAGCUACAGUGCCCAAUCAGGACACGUUUCGCGGAAUAUGCUCCAUCGACCUAAAGGAUCAAGGAAAACCGUGCGAUUAAUGUCGGUUUGAUCCGACGGCCCAGAUUCACUUGAAAAGACUAUAUAAGCAAGGCCCCCUGGCCCCUGGAGAUCAUACCUCUUCUACAGAAUCAAAGCUAGGGUUUCAAUUCUUCAUCCAAGUAGAGAGGAUCCCUCUAGUUCUUCUAGUUCUACCUCUAGUUCAUCUAGAUCUAGUUCUAGUUCAUCUAGUUCUAGUUCUAGUUCCUCUAGUUCUAGUUCUAGUUAGUUCUAGUUGUAAUUUAGAAAAUAGGGAGAGAGAAGAGGAGAGCGGAGGAGGAGCCGGAUCUGUCGGAUCUUUCUCAACAUUAUACUUUUGCAGCAUCUGGUUCGUUCUUCAUCGUUCUCCAGGUUCUUCAAUUCAUAAUUCCUGAGUUCUCUAAUUACUUUUAUUUACAUUCAAGUUAUUUAUUAGAUUCCCGCUUGCAUCAAGUGCUCUAAUCUUUGAAACAUUAGAGUAGUAAUUAAUAGAUUAGACGUAGUGUUUAGUCUUGCAAUUACCUAGAAUUGCACCCAAUCCUGCGGAUUGUUGUGGUAGCCUUAGGGUAGUGACAGCCCUAACGGUCGACGUAUUCCACCACGUUCGGAUCGGUGUUUGUAGGACCGUAGUCGGAGCUUCCUAGCCCCCUUCUCAUCUCUUUCUGUGGUUAGUGUUCUGAUGUUCCGAAAUAGAUAAUCUUGAAGUAAUUCUUGAUUCUUAGAUCAACUAGAGAACUCUCAGGAAACUUCCUCUCUUCCCACCAAAAAUAAUUAUAUAGUUAUCCUUGGGCGAUUUUGGAUCUUAAUUAGUACACUCACGUUCCCUGUGGAAAAUCGAUACUCUGGAAUACUCCCGGGUGAAGGCUACAUCGGUAUCCGUGCACUUGCGGAUUUUUCUGUUUGCGUUUAAAAUACCCAACAAGCUUUCUGGCGCCGUUGCCGGGGAACGGUAGCUGUGCUAGUUUCGAACCAAGUCGUCCGUGUACCCUUUUUCUUUUCCUUUUAUACCACACUCACCUUACCAUUUUCACCACACCACAUGGAUUUCAUUCUAAGCAUUAAUGAGCAUGGAAUUUAUUUCAUAGCCACUUCAUUUACUCCAUGCUCAUAUGCAACAUCUUCACAAUCCAUUGGUCUCUCCAACAUCACCACAUUCGAGAUCUCCAACCCCCUCUUCCUUUCUAUUUAUAAAAACUUUAAAAGGGCGGUUGUCGAUGCAUAUGUCUAUAAUAAAUUUUGCAGAUCUCGUUGAGUUGAUCUUGAUAUAGGUCAGCGUUGGAGGGGAAACCACUUCACUGACAUAAAUCGAUGGUUUCCCAAGGACAAGCUUAGUGUCCUAAAACAAGCACUGAUCAGACCAUAACAUAAACUUUUAAUUAUUUGCAACAUUACCUUGUGUGUUGAGCAUAUCAGGAUAAUUGUAAAAAUAUUCCUUCGGGUAUUCUUGUCACUAACCUUUAUAGGAUUGGAGCAAGAAGAUCGGAUGAAUGACAAGCACAAGGUAUGUCCAACCAAUCAUCAUACAACAUUGAAUUAAAUUCAUCCAAACUUGAAUUUUACAAAAUUCAAGCUUGGGGGAGUACUUUACAUAAAAACAUCCUUUGCAAUGUUGCUAUGUUGGUUGUCCUUACCUUUGAGACAUGCUCAAUUUGUUAAAUACUAAACACACUACUUCAUCUCCACUUAAGUAGAUCUCUAUAAAUGCUCUCAUGCUACCUUUAUUUGCUUUAGUAUAUGUUUAGGUUUGGAGUAGUUUCAUUUAUCUCUUAAUUAAGCAUGGUGCUUAGUUUAGGAGUGAUGAUCUUACUUCCAAGGGAGUUUAAAUUAAGCAUGAUGCUUAGGUUAAAGUGCCCUCCUAAAUCAAAUUAGACAUGGUGUCUAGGUUGAUCUUUGAGCCGAUAGUAUGCUAUAGUAGAUAUUGGAUAUUUUGUUGGACUAACCCCUGCAGGAAAACUUUCAGUAUCAAUCUGGGAAGCCUUGAGACAAACUCACAUUGGAGACAAAGAGAGAGGCACGUGAAGUUUAACAAUUUACACAAGGAAGGCAUAGCUCACAAGAGAUGAUCUAUGGAGGGUGCCACAAACACGAUGCAUAACCGCUAAGAAAGGAAAGCUUCCACAAGGUGAUACUGUACCAUCACUCUUCAAGUAAGGUAACAUCUUAAGGUACUUGUCUAUCACUUUUAUAAGUUUCUCCUUGGUUCUAGCGUUCACAUGAGUAAAAGAGACAAACAUGUAUGAUUUACAACUCUUGAUUAACCAACCCAAUCGAUUCAACAUGUUUAGUCCUUCCACCUUUGUGAUUCCACACUCCUAAUCAUAUGAGCUAAAAUGUUGCACACUCAAUCUUUGGAAGAUAUAUUUAAAAAACAACAUAAAUAUAGAUAGAUUAUCUUUCCAUUAGGUUGAGCGAUUUGAUCUGACAAAUGUUUUAAAUGCUACACUCAUGAUCUUAUUGUCCAUCAACUUUGUCUUGCUCACUGUGCUUGAGGUUAGAGAAGAACAAAUACACUUUUGGUUCUGUUGGUGUUUUCCACCAACAGGGCCCAUGCACUUGAUCUCUGCCUUGUCUCUAUGAGCAGGUACACUUCGAGCAAAAUAUGGAGGAGUAUUAUAACUCCUAGACUCCACCAAGUGAAGAAUCUGGAUCUACGAGCACAAACACACUGGAGAUACUGGACACUCAGGCAAUCACUGCCCUGAGAUGCUUGAGGAUGUAACUACUGGAGUAACCCCGUUGUGGAAGUAAUUACUGACCUUCUGCCGGUCAAGAGAGGCGAUCCAGGACGCCCCGUCAUCCCGAUCUCCAUCGGCAUGGUGGACUUCCCAGAACCACUCCGCGACUUUGGCUUUAGCGUCAACAUUAUGCCCAGGAACCUCUACGUCCGAGUUGGUACCUUAUACGCUCUAGCAGACUUCGUGGUGAUAGAGAUUGAUACUGAUGAGAGGGCACCCAUCAUCCUAGGGAGGCCAUUCCUGAACACCUCGGGAGCUGUCAUCUACGCUAGUGCUGCCAAGAUUAGUCUUUACAUCAAGGGGAGGAAGGAGACGUUUUUCUUCAAGAACAAGACUACACAAAUCUCAGAGCAAUCCCGACAUGAACCAGGGAAGAGGACCAACAGGAGGAACAGAAACAAGCAAAUGUGGACUGAGUCAGCUAAGAUGGUCACUGCAGCUCAAGAAGGUCAAGAUCGUCAACUCAAGUCGCCUUUCUUGAUCAAGAAGGACGACCCUGGUGUUCCUAGCAUCAAGUGCACAAUCAACAGAUAUUCUUUUCAGAAGACACUCUAUGACACCGGAUCUGACCUCAACAUAAUGGCCGCAGUCACUUAUCAGCUCCUACACGGAACCAUGCCCCUACAACCAACAUACAUUCAGCUCUAGAUGAUUUUAAGGUUAUUAACAUGGGAGAAGACGAGUACGUUCCACCCAUCAUCUUUGGGAGACAGUUCCUCAGCACCGUUAAAACAAUCAUCUACAUUGAAACCGGAGAUGUCCACAUGAACUUCCCCUCUGAGAAGGUACGCCGCUAUUUUACUGACCUUAUCUAUAUAGUUGAAGACUCUAAGCAGGUCAGGACAAGAAGAAGAUGACGCAACCGCAACCAGAGAAGGCAAAUCAUCAAGGAUGGAUGGGCGGACUAUGAAGGAGAAGUGGUAAGGUCUGAUGACAUACAGUUUGAACAGAACUGUCCUGAGGAGACCGUAGCACCAAUUCAGGUGUGGAGAAAGAAGAUAGUUAUACACGAAGAGCAGACGCCGCCGGAACAACCGACUACGCCAUCCAGCAAAUCCCAGGAUGAUUCAGGAAACGGAGAGUCCCGUUCGGAGGACUUAAAAACACCGAACGCCUUGCCAAGAGGUAAACUUGGUAGUUAUCUUUCUCCUUUCAAUUAUUUAAAAUAGUUUACUUAGUUAAUCAGGUUCACAUCAUCUUGAAAAGAAAAUAAAAAUGUUAAAAAUAGUAAGCCCCAUGUGAGUAUGAUCAUGGCAUAAAACCCAUAAGUACAUUCACUGUGGUGGCGUAAAAAUAAAAUAAAUAUAUUCCUGUCCUAUAAAAAUGAAAAUAUAAAAAUAAAUUUAUGAUCCUACCAAAGAAAAUAAUAUUUAUUGAGGAGGCUCAACAUGAUAAAGGCUAGAUAUUUAUGCUAACACUGAACUAGUUCCACAAAGCUUUGUUGUCUAUUUGAGCUCCACAGAAUUCAAGGAUUAAAGAAGACUAGGAGACGGAGGACAUCCUAAUCGCUGUCAGGGUGCUGCUGACAUUCAAAUACACCUCCACCACUUGCUAGCUACAUUAGAAGAAACUACGUCAAAAUCCAGCUUGGGGGAGAGCACCCCCAUUUAUCCAGCUAAGUAUUCUACUCACGUUUAUACUUUACUCUAAUAAUAAAAAGAUGCAUAAUCAUAAAAACCCAAAUAAACGUUUUGUGCUUAUAUAUAUAUAUAUAUAUAUAUAUAUAUAUAUAUAUAUAUAUAUAUAUAUAUAUAUAUAUAUAUAUAUAUAUAUAUAUAUAUAUAUAUAUAUAUAUAUAUAUAUAUAUAUAUAUAUAUAUAUAUAUAUAUAUAUCUUUGCUUAGUUUGCUAAAUAAAUAAAUAAACAAAGUUUGCAAUAAACCCUCGUGAUAAGCUCUCACAUGGAAAUGAUGAAUAGUUGCUCUGCCAUGACUAGUUCUCAAAAUUGAAAUCUCUCUCAAGUUUAGGCAUGACUGGUAUUAAUUAAGAUUUGCUCUAAACCUGAACUUGUGGGGAGAGUACUUGAUCUAAAGUCUAAGUCGUUAACGGAUACGAUAUGGGAAGGUUGAGCUGCUGUUUAUCUGUUCCUAGAGAUGCUAGAAUUCUGGAGAAUUUUAUCUUUGAAAAUAUUUCAAAAUGUUGCAUGAUGAGUUCCUGUAUGAUGAGAGUUUAAAUUCCUACCACAGCCAUAUAUACAUGCUUGCUAGACUUUGAGCCACACAUUUACUUUUUACUGCUUAUGAGCAUUGAGUGUGGUCAAGCUGUGUAGAACCUUAGGAGCUUGUCAUGUGGUUAAAUCAAGAUUCACUUGCACGUUCACUCACACAUGCUACUUCUACUCCAGAAGUACCAUCCACAUAUAUCCAUCCAUUUCCAUCUCCAGAACCACCCAAAAAUAUUCUACUCCUAAUCCGGGAGAGAGUAGCCAAAAACAUUCUCCUAUUUCUGUUUUUCCCUGUGAAAAAAAUGCUCAAGUUAUCUUGGUUACUACCACUUGCUAUAUUAUUUCAGGAGAUGAGUGCUCUAAAAAAAGAAAGAAAAAAAAAUACGAGGAAAUAAAAAGGGGCAAGUGCCCAGAACCUCGAAAGAAAAAAAAGUGAGACGAGAGGUAAAAAUGGACAAGUGUCCGACAGUAGAAUUAGGGGUACAAGAUACCCACCUGAGAGAAAAGAAAAUAUAGAGCAUCUCAUUCUCCUCAAAAAGUUUCAAAAGAGCAAGAAAGGUAUGUAUCCCCUCAAAAGAGCAUAAGUAGAAUUAGACUUUCACCAUUAUCACCAUCAUCACCAUACACCAUUCAUUCGCUACACAUGCACAUCUUGAUUUGACUUAUUGACUUGUUCUUCUGGAUCCAUGGUUUGACUAUGCAAUAAAUGUCUUGUAAGUAUGUAUUAGCUGUCUCCCACCUAUGAGCUCCAGAUAUCAAAAGCCUUAUUAGAGUAGGGUGAGAGAGAAGGCAAUGUCACUAUGCCUCAUACCAAAAAUACCACAUACUUUGAGAGAAGGCAUACACCAUUACUGCCUUGGUAAGGAUCCAGAAAUACCACAAAAGAGAGACUAGAGAGAGUCAUACAAGGAAUCUCUGAGUUUUAUUUGAAAAUCUACAAAAACUCUAGAGCUAUAGUUAAUCGAAGAACAAGAGACAUGGCGCUUGACUAGACUGUUCUAUCUUUUAACUACUCAAGACAGAAGUGAUGGUUACAAGUCCCAUGGUGAAAGGUAAAUGAGUAAGUUUUAAAUUUUAACAGUUUACCCUAACGUAGAGAUGAGAUCUUGUUUGAACGCAUAUGUAUCUUUAAGGUAUGAAACCACUGCAGAAACUCUUGAGUCCAUCUUUGCUCAGGGACGAGCAAAGGUUUAGCUUGGGGGAGCUUGUUGACGGUCCUUAAUGCUCAUAUUUAACCAUCAACUAAUCAUGGAAAAGGAUCCAAAUGCAACCAACACCUAGACUUAGGGUUUUAUCUGACAGAAUUCCACAAGUUUUGGUGUUUGUCUAUUUCUGCAGGGGGUUAUCAGGAAAUAUGGAGGAAAGGCCCACACGUCGGGUUUACAUAGAGAUAUUAACGUGCCGCGCAAUUUUCUAUCAUCUAGAAGACUCCAGAAGCCAUGGGAACGAACGGGAAGGAAAUCGGGCUCAGAGGCAGGGCGCCCGCCCAACUCUCCUGGGCGCCCGCCCAGCUACAGUGCCCAAUCAGGACACGUUUCGCGGAAUAUGCUCCACCGACCUAAAGGAUCAAGGAAAACCGUGCGAUUAAUGUCGGUUUGAUCCGACGGCCCAGAUUCACUUGAAAAGACUAUAUAAGCAAGGCCCCCUGGCCCCUGGAGAUCAUACCUCUUCUACAGAAUCAAAGCUAGGGUUUCAAUUCUUCAUCCAAGUAGAGAGGAUCCCUCUAGUUCUUCUAGUUCUACCUCUAGUUCAUCUAGAUCUAGUUCUAGUUCAUCUAGUUCUAGUUCUAGUUCCUCUAGUUCUAGUUCUAGUUAGUUCUAGUUGUAAUUUAGAAAAUAGGGAGAGAGAAGAGGAGAGCGGAGGAGGAGCCGGAUCUGUCGGAUCUUCCUCAACAUUAUACUUUUGCAGCAUCUGGUUCGUUCUUCAUCGUUCUCUAGGUUCUUCAAUUCAUAAUUCCUGAGUUCUCUAAUUACUUUUAUUUACAUUCAAGUUAUUUAUUGGAUUCCCGCUUGCAUCAAGUGCUCUAAUCUUUGAAACAUUAGAGUAGUAAUUAAUAGAUUAGACGUGGUGUUUAGUCUUGCAAUUACCUGGAAUUGCACACAAUCCUGCGGAUUGUUGUGGUAGCCUUAGGGUAGUGACAGCCCUAACGGUCGACGUAUUCCACCACGUUCGGAUCGGUGUUUGUAGGACCGUAGUCGGAGCUUCCUAGCCCCCUUCUCAUCUCUUUCUGUGGUUAGUGUUCUGAUGUUCCGAAAUAGAUAAUCUUGAAGUAAUUCUUGAUUCUUAGAUCAACUAGAGAACUCUCAGGAAACUUCCUCUCUUCCCACCAAAAAUAAUUAUAUAGUUAUCCUUGGGCGAUUUUGGAUCUUAAUUAGUACACUCACGUUCCCUGUGGAAAAUCGAUACUCUGGAAUACUCCCGGGUGAAGGCUACAUCGGUAUCCGUGUGCUUGCGGAUUUUUCUGUUUGCAUUUAAAAUACCCAACACUAUAGCUGAUCAAGAAUAAGAGACAUGGCACUUGACUAGACUGUUCUAUCUUUUAACUACUCAAGACAGAAGUGACGGUUACAAGUCCCAUGGUGAAAGGUAAAGUAAGUAAGUUUUAAGUCUUGACAGUUUACUCUAACUCAGAGAUGAGAUCUUAUUUGAAAAGCAUGUGUACCGUCAAUUUUUAAAAGUGUUGCAACAACUUCUGAUCCAUCACUGGGAAUAUCCUUGCUCAGGGACGAGCAAGAGGUAAGCAUGGGGGAGUUUAUUGACGGUCCUUAAGUAUCAAAUUUAAUUAUCAAAUAAACAAAGAAAAGGAUCCAAAUCAAAUCAACAUCUAGACUUAGGGUUUUAUCUGACAGAAUUCCAUGAGUUUUGGUGUUUGUCUAUUUCUGCAGGGGGUUAUUAGAGUAGGGUGAGAGAGAAGGCAAUGUCAUUAUGCUUUAUACCACAAAUACCACAUAUUUUGAGAGAAGGCAUAUACCAUCACUGCCUUGGUAAGGAUCCAGAAAUACCAUAAAAGAGAAAUUUGAGAGAAUCAUACAAGGAAUCUCUGAGUUUUAUUUGAAAAUCUGCAAAAACUCUAGAGCUAUAGCUGAUCAAGAAUAAGAUACAUGGCACUUGACUAUACUGUUCUAUCUUUUAACUACUCAAGACAGAAGUGACGGUUACAAGUCCCAUGGUGAAAGGUAAAGUAAGUAAGUUUUAAGUUUUGACAGUUUACUCUAACUCAGAGAUGAGAUCUUAUUUGAAAAGCAUGUGUACCGUCAAUUUUUAAAAGUGUUGCAACAACUUCUGAUCCAUCACAGGGAAUAUCCUUGCUCAGGGACGAGCAAGAAGUAAGCUUGGGGGAGUUUGUUGACGGUCCUUAAGUAUCAAAUUUAAUUAUCAAAUAAACAAAGAAAAGGAUCCAAAUGAAAUCAACAUCUAGACUUAGGGUUUUAUCUGACAGAAUUCCACGAGUUUUGGUGUUUGUCUAUUUCUGCAGGGGGUUAUCAGGAAAUACGAAAGAAAGGCCCACACGUCGGGAUUACAUAGAGAUAUUAACAUGCCGCGCAAUUAUCUUACAUCUAGAAGACUCCAGAAGCCACGGGAAGAAAGCGGAGGCCGAACGGGGCCAGAGGCAGGGCGCCCGCCCUGACCUGGAGUCCAAUCAGGACUCUGUUUCUCGGGAGAUCUCCACCAACCUAGAGGAUCAAGGAUAACCGUUCAAUCAAUGUCGGUUUGAUCCAACGGCCUAUAUUUACUUGAAGGGACUAUAAAACCACACCCCCUGGCCCCUGGAGGAGAGAGCCUCUCAACCCUAAUUCAUUAUUCUUCAAGGGAGAAGAAGCCUCUGAUCAAGAUUAGAGACACCACAUCAAUUAGAUAUCUAGAUUAGCAUAGCUACAUAGGAUUAGAACUAGAAGGAGUCAAUCUUCGAUUGGUUUCCGGAUCUGUCAAGAGGAUUCUUGGUAAUUCUCUAAUUGUGCUUCUAAUUGCUUUCUAAUUAUCUUUGUUCUUCAACAUUAUGAAUAUGACUUUGUUCUACUUCAAUAUAUUGCUUAUGACUUUGCUCUACUUGUUUAUAUUCAAGAUUAUAUUGUUCUUAGUUUAUCAUAGUUAUGUACUUGGCUUAGUUAGAUUGGAUCCAUAUACAUGCUUAGGAUCGUAUAGCGUUUAUCCAUCGGAUCCAUGGGUAAAUGAUAGAUAUUGUGUAGGCGUGGUGCUUAUACCGUAUUUAUCUGCGAUUGUACCCAAUAUGCCAGAUCGUGGGGUAGUUCGUGAUAGUGACAGCUUCAUUGAUUCUUAUAUAGUCCCCCUCUCGUGUAUUGGGCUGGCAGAGCAAUAUUAUUACAGGGAAGUGAUUGCUAUGUUUCUCAUUUACCUUGCUAAUAUCACUAUGCAUGGGCGUAAUCUUGUCUCACAAUGAUUGCUAAGUAUGCUUGCACUAACUAUAUAGUUGAGAAUAACUUAGGGAAUAUUCUUGUAGUUCGUUCUAAUUCCAUGCUAAUGACUAUAUAGUUGAGAAUAACUUAGGGAAUAUUCUUGUAGUUCGUUCUAAUUCCAUGCUAAUGACUUUCUAGAGUAUCUAAUUGAGGUGCUUAUCAUAUUUAUAUGUGGAAAAGUUAUGAUCAGAUUAAUUAUCUUUGUCACUAUUCAUUAUUUCAUAUAUCUUUUAUGUGACACUUACCCCUGUAUGAAAGAGUUAGAUAAAUGUUCUCAAUUAUACAUGCAAUGAUAGAUACUCAAUCUCAUAUUCUAUUCUGAAUCAAUAUUGAUGAUUGCUAAUCCCUUCCCAGUGGUAAAAAUAUAAAUAACGAUACCUGGAAUACUUCCCGGUUAAAAUGCUACAUCGGUAUUAAUCUGUGCGCUUGCAGAUCCCAUUCAUUAUUUAUUUAGAAGAGCAAUUGCAUAUUUCAAUACCGUGUCUCUCAUGUCAUGCUGGGGAUGACAACUUGGCUUAAGUGGUGUGAGGGAUAGGUUUAGCAUUUUUGGCACCGUUACUAGAUUUAGAGAACUUAGUCUACUUUUGGUAAUGAUGUUAAGAAUACCCAACAAGCAUUUUUUGGUGCCGUUGCCGGGGAAGGUUGAUUAAUAAUCACGAAUGGAAUAAAGGAUUUUGAGUUUUCAUUCGCAUCACUAAUAUGAUUGAGCUUAUCUAUUCUCUCAUACAGUUUUACCCCGAUAUUUUUCCAUUUUAUCUUAUGCAGGGGAAUGUAUGAAUAGAAGACAUCUUCCAGGAAAUUUUGUUGACAAUCCCGAAGCGUUAUUCAAGAAGACAAAAGCCAAGCUCAAGAAGAGAUCAUCAACACUUCAGCAAGAAGCUUCAUCCAAUCAAGAAGAUCACCGGAACUUGUUUUCAGAGUUCGAAGCCAUGGCGAACAAAUCGAUUCGUGAGUUCUUAGCUCCCACUACGGACAACAUCCGCACUGGACCUGCUGCAGAGAUCGAUGGCAACUUUGAGCUCAAGCCUGGACUUAUCAACAUGGUGCAAUCCAAGCAGUUCUGUGGGAAGGCACACGAAGAUGCUAGUGCUCAUCUCCAACACUUCCUGGAGAUUUGCAACACAUUUACCAUAUCAGGAGUCCCCAGAGAUGCUAUACUACUUCGCCUCUUCCCAUUCUCACUGUUAGGAAGAGCGAAGCAGUGGUUCUACGCUACAAAGGAGAAGAAUACUACGUGGGCACUCUGCUCAACAAACUUCCUGGCUAAGUUCUUUCCCAUGGGCAAGACCAAUGCUCUCCGAGGGAAGAUUACAAGUUUUCAGCAACAAAAUGAUGAAUCUGUUCCAGAAGCAUGGGAGCGCUUCCAAGACUACAUCCUAGAAUGUCCCCAUCAUGGAAUGGAGAGUUGGCUACUAAUGCAGUGCCCGAGAAACCAUGGAUGUUGCAGCUGGAGGAGCAUUCUUAUCACUUACCAUAUCACAAGCCACAGCUCUUGUGGAGAAGAUGGCGCCCAACCAAGGCUGGAAUGAAGAAAGGACCCAGACACGCAAGAGAGGUGGAGGUAUGCAUCAGCUCAAGGAGGUAGACAUGCUAUCUGCAAAGCUAGACCUGCUCAUGAAGAAGCUCGAUGAUAGAGCUGGAGACAAGAAAGAAGUUAUGCACAUCUACGACUCUCACAUGACUUGUGAGGAGUGUGGAGAUACUGGACACUCAGGCAAGCACUGCCCUGAUAUGCUUGAGGAUGUAAACUACAUCAACAACAACUACUACUACUACUACAACCGUCCUCAACAAAAUCAAGGUUGGAAUCAACAGAGGCCUAACUACUCAGGUAAUUAUCAAGGUAACAAUUCUUACAACAAUAAUAAUAAUUUUCCACCUCUGAGAGAGUUAGUGUCUAAUCAAGGAAAGCUAAUAGAUAACCUGUCUAAGAAAUUGGCAUCAAAUGAUAAAAUGCUAGAAAAUAUAAAUAAUAGAAUGGAUAAUUUCUCUACUGCCAUCAAGAAUCAAAUUAGCUUUAAUAAAAUGAUUGAAUCUCAGUUAAAUCAAAUAGCUGCUGCUGUUCCUGCUACUAACCCCGGUAUACCAUCACAACCGGAAGGAUUAGAAUCUGCAAAUCUUGUAGACAUGUUUGAUGCAGGUAAUUGGAGUAACCCUGUCACUGAAUUUACUACUGACCUUCUGCCGGUCAAGAGAGGCGAUCCAGGACGCCCCGUCAUCCCGAUCUCCAUCGGCAUGGUGGACGUUCCAGAAGCACUCUGCGACUUUGGCUCCAGUGUCAACAUUAUACCCAGGGUACUCUAUGAAAAAUUCUUUACAUAUCCUUUAUUAGAGACAACCAUGUGUUUGCAGUUUGCAGAUCAGACGAUAAGUUUUCCAAAAGGGAUAUUGAAGAACCUUUGUGUCCGAGUUGGUACCUUAUAUGCCCUAGCAGACUUCGUGGUGAUAGAGACCGGUAAUGAUGAGAGAGCACCCAUCAUCUUAGGGAGGCCAUUCUUAAACACCUCGGGAGCUGUCAUCUACGCUAGUGCUGCCAAGAUCAGUUUCUACAUCAAAGGGAGGAAGGAGACUUUUUUCUUCAAGAACAAGACUACACAAAUCCCAGAUCAAUCCAGACGUAAAUCAAGGAAGAUGACCAACAGAAGGAACAGGAACAAGCAAGUGUGGACCGAGUCAGCUAAGAUGGUCACUGCAGUUCAUGGAGGCCAAGAUCAUCAACUUAAGUCACCGUUUUUGACCAAGAAGGACGACCCAGGAAUGCUAAGCAUCUACUGCUCCAUAAAUGGAUACAGCUUCUACAAGACGUUUCGCGACACCGGAUCGGGCGUCAACAUAAUGGCCGCAGUCACCUAUCGGCUCUUGUUCAGAACCAUGCCACUAAGACCAACAUACAUUCAGCUCCAGAUGGCAGAUCAGACAUUUCGAGAAGUUAAAGGAACAGUAACUGAUGUCCCAGUCAAAAUAGACGAUCAUUUUGUCUACACAGACUUUCAGGUUAUUGAUAUGGGAGAAGACGAGUACGAUCCACCCAUCAUCCUUGGAAGACCGUUCCUCAGCAUCGUUAAAGCAAUCAUCUACAUUAGAACUGGAGAAGUCCAUAUGCACUUCCCCUUAGAGAAGGUACGCCGUUAUUUUACUGACCCUAACUACAUCUUUGAAGAAUCUAAGCAGGUCAGAAAACGAUGCAACCGCAACCAGAGGAGGCAAAUCAUCAAGGACGGAUGGGCAGACUACGAAGGAGAAAUUGUAAGGUCACAAGACGUAGAGUUUAAACAGAAUUAUCCAGAGGAGACCGAAGCACCGAGUUAGAUAUGGAAAGAGAAGAUAACUAUACAUGAAGAGGAGGCGCUGCCGGAAGUACCGACUACGCCACCCAACGAAUUCCAGGACAAUUGAGAAAAUGAAGAGUCCCGCACCGAACGCCUUGCCAAGAGGUAAACUUGGUAGUUAUCCUUUCCCUUUCAGAUAUUUAAAAUAGUUUGCUUAGUUAAUCAUGUUCGUACUAUCCUAAAAAGAAAAUAAAAAUGUUAAAAAACAGUAAGCCCCAUGUGAGUAUACGAGUGGCAUAAAACCCAUAAGUACAUUCACUGUGGUGGCAUGAAAAUAAAAUAAAUAUUUCAUUUCUGCUUUAUAAAAUAAAAAUAUAAAAAUAGGGAGUAACAAUUAUUAAGGAGUCUCAACAUGAUAAAGGCUAGAUAUUUAUGCUAACACUUAAUCAGUUCCACAAGCUUUGUUGUCUAUUUGAGCUCCACAGAAUUUAAGAAUCAAGAAGAUUAGUAGACGGAGGACAUUUUAAUCGCUGUCAGAAUGCUGCUGACUUUCAAAUACACCUCUACCACCUGCUAGCUACAUCAAGAGAAAUUACGUCAAAAUUUAGCUUGGGGGAGAGCACCCCCAUUUAUCCCGAUAAGUAUUUCUAUCUAUCUAUCUCUAUACUUAUACUAUUUUAGAAUAUAAAUAUACAUAAACCAGGAAAAACCAAAUAAAGAUUUUGUGCUUACAUCUUUUGCCUAGUGUGUUUAAUAAAUAAAUAAAGUGGCUAUGCUAAUCUGUAUCUUAAUAAUAAAACUUUAGCAUGGAUAUGAUGAAUAGUUGCUCUGCCUAAUUUGCACAUUUUAAGUUCUCUCUCAAGUUUAGACAUAACUGUUAUAAUUUAAAGCUUGCUCUAGACCUAAACUUGUGGGAUGAAAACUUGAUAUGAAGUCUAAAUUGUUAACGGAUACGAUAUGGGAAGGUUGAGCUGCUGUUUAUCUAUUCCUAGAGAUGCUAGAAUUCUGGAGAAUUUUAUCUUUAAAAAUCUUUAAAAUAUUGCAUGAUGAGUUCCUAUAUAAUGAGAGUUUAAAUUCCUACCACAGCCAUAUAUACAUGCUUGCUAGACUUUGAGCCACACAUUUACUAUUUACUGCUUAUGAGCAUUGAGUGUGGUCAAGCUGUGUAGACCCUUAGGAGCUUGUCAUGUGGUUAAAUCAAGAUUUCACUUGCACGUUCACUCAUAUAUGCUACUUCUACUCCAGAAGUACCAUCCACAUAUAUCCACCCAUUUUCAUCUCCAGAACCACCUAAAAAUAUUCUACUCCUAAUCCAGUAGAGAAUAGCCAAAAAUAUUUCUGUUUUUCCCUAUAAAAUAAAUGCUCAAGUUAUAUUGUUACUACCACUUGCUAUAUUAUCUCAAGAGAUGAGUGCUCUGAAAAAAAAGAGAGAGAAAAAAAAGAUACGAGGAAAUAAAAAGGGGCAAGUGCCUGGAACCUCGAAAGAAAAGAAAAGUGAGACGAGAGGUAAAAAUGGACAAGUGUCCGACAGUAGAAUUAGGGGUACAAAAUACCCACCUGAGAGAAAAGAAAAAUAAGAGCAUCUCAUUCUCUUCAAAAGUUUCAGAAAGCAAGGAAGGUAUGUAUCCCCUCAAAAGAGCAAAAGUAGAAUUAGACUUUCACCAUUGUUAUCACCAUCAUCACCAAAUACCAUUCAUUCGCCACACAUGAACAUCUUGAUUUGACUUAUUGAUUUGUUUCUUUGGAUCCAUGGUUUGACUAUACAAUAAAUGUCUUGUGAGUAUGUAUACUUUAUCUCCCACCUAUGAGCUCCAGAUAUUAAAGCCUUAUUAGGGUAGGGUGAGAGAGAAGGCAAUGUCAUUAUGUUUUAUACCACAAAUACCACAUAUUUUGAGAGAAGGCAUAUGCCAUCACUGUCUUGGUAAGGAUCCAAAAAUACCACAAAAGAGAGAUUUGAGAGAAUCAUACAAGGAAUCUCUGAGUUUUAUUUGAAAAUCUGCAAAAACUCUAGAGCUAUAGCUGAUCAAGAAUAAGAGACAUGGCACUUGACUAGACUGUUCUAUCUUUUAACUACUCAAGACAGAAGUGACAGUUACAAGUCCUAUGGUGAAAGGUAAAGUAAGUAAGUUUUAAGUCUUGACAGUUUACUCUAACUCAGAGAUGAGAUCUUAUUUGAAAAGCAUGUGUACCGUCAAUUUUUAAAAGUGUUGCAACAACUUCUGAUCCAUCACUGGGAAUAUCCUUGCUCAGGGACGAGCAAGAGGUAAGCUUGGGGGAGUUUGUUGACGGUCCUUAAGUAUCAAAUUUAAUUAUCAAAUAAACAAAGAAAAGGAUCCAAAUAAAAUCAACAUCUAGACUUAGGGUUUUAUCUGACAGAAUUCCACGAGUUUUGGUGUUUGUCUAUUUCUGCAGGGGGUUAUCAGGAAAUACGGAAGAAAGGCCCACACGUCGGGAUUACAUAGAGAUAUUAACGUGCCGCGCAAUUAUCUUACAUCUAGAAGACUCCAGAAGCCACGGGAAGAAAGCGGAGGCCGAACGGGGCCAGAGGCAGGGCGCCCGCCCUCCUGCCCUGGGCGCCCGCCCUGACCUGGAGUCCAAUCAGGACUCUGUUUCUCGGGAGAAAUAUUAUUACAGGGGAGUGAUUGCUAUGUUUCUCAUUUACCUUGCUAAUAUCACUAUGCAUGGGCGUAAUCUUGUCUCACAAUGAUUGCUAAGUAUGCUUGCACUAACUAUGAUAAUGCUAGACUAUAUAGUUGAGAAUAACUUAGGGAAUAUUCUUGUAGUUCGUUCUAAUUCCAUGCUAAUGACUUUCUAGAGUAUCUAAUUGAGGUGCUUAUCAUAUUUAUAUGUGGCUAAGUUAUGAUCAGAUUAAUUAUCUUUAUCACUAUUCAUUAUUUCAUAUAUCUUUUAUGUGACACUUACCCCUGUAUGAAAGAGUUAGAUAAAUGUUCUCAAUUAUACAUGCAAUGAUAGAUACUCAAUCUCAUAUUCUAUUCUGUAAUCAAUAUUGAUGAUUGCUAAUCCUUUCCCAGUGGUAAAAAUAUAAAUAACGAUACCUGGAAUACUUCCCGGUUAAAAUGCUACAUCGGUAUUAAUCUGUGCGCUUGCAGAUCCCAUUCAUUAUUUAUUUAGAAGAGCAAUUGCAUAUUUCAAUACCACGUCUCUCAUGUCAUGCUGGGGAUGACAACUUGGCUUAAGUGGUGUGAGGGAUAGGUUUGGUAUUUUUGGCACCGUUACUAGAUUUAGAGAACUUAGUCUACUUUUGGUAAUGAUGUUAAGAAUACCCAACAUGAGGUACGUCAUCAGGAUUCAUUUUGCCGCAUCCAACAACGUCGCGGAGUACGAGGCCCUUGUCAACGGUCUGAAGAUCGCCAUCGAGCUAGGAGUCUGACGCCUCGACGUUCGAGGCGACUCCCAGCUCGUCAUCGACCAAGUGAUGAAGGCCUCGAACUGCCACGACCUGAAAAUGGAGGCGUACUGCAAGGAGGUCCGUCGACUCGAGGACAAGUUCCACGGCCUCGAACUCGUCCACGUCGCCCGACGCUACAACGAGGCAGCCGACGAACUCGCUAAAAUCGCGUCGACUCGGGACACGGUCCCACCUGACGCAUUCGCAAGAGAUUUGCACGAGCCAUCCGUCGACUUGGGCUCGGGGGCUGGUGUCGAAGCCACCCCCAACCAACAGACCGACACCAUCGAGGCGCUGCUAAUGGCAGCCGAGGUGACGGAAGUGGAACAGCGGCCCAGUCGACCGAUCGACUGGCGCACGCCAUUCCUCGACUGCAUAUCCGCUGCGAGCUACUAGAAGAUCGAUCCGAGGCCCUCUGUAUCGCUCGACGGGCCAAGUCAUAUGUAAUCUAUGGCGAAGAUAAUGAGUUAUAUCGGCAAAGCCCGACGGGGAUCUUGCAGCAUUGCAUCACCAUAGAAGAAGGCCGAAAACUCCUCGAGGAUCUACACUCGGGGGCUUGUGGCCACCAUGCGGCUCCACGGACCCUCGUAGGGAACUCUUUCCGUCAAGGCUUCUACUGGCCAACGGCCGUAUCCGACGCCAUCGAGCUCAUGCGCUCGUGCCAUGGGUGCCAGUUUUAUGCCAAGCAGACGCAUCUUCCCACCCACGCUCUCCAGAUGAUCCCCAUCACGUGGCCGUUUGCGGUGUGGGGGCUCGACCUAGUAGGACCUCUACAGAAGCCAAAGGAGGAUACACCCAUUUGUUGGUAGCCAUCGACAAAUUCUCCAAAUGGAUCGAGGCUCGACCCAUCACCAACAUCCGCUCCGAGCAGGCCGUCCUUUUCCUCACCGACAUCAUCCACCGGUUUGGGAUCCCCAAUGUCAUCAUCACCGACAACGGCACUCAGUUCACCGGUAGAAAGUUCUUGGACUUCUGCGAUCGGCAUCACAUCCUUGUGAACUGGUCUGCAGUGGCUCACCCUCGAACUAACAGCCAGGUCAAGCGUGCCAACGGCAUGAUUUUACAAGGGCUCAAACCAAGGAUCUACAACCGCUUGAAGAAAUUCGGCAAGAAGUGGGUCGAGGAGCUUUCUUCUGUCCUAUGGAGCUUAAGAACGACGUCGAGCAGGGCCACAAAAUACACCCCAUUCUUCAUGGUCUAUGACUCAAGAGAACGUGGUCGACCAGCUCGAGGAAGCUCGAGAGAUGGCCCUCCUCAACUCCGCCAGAUACCAGCAGAAGCUUCGACGCUACCACGACAAGCACGUGCGCAAAAGGGACUUGAACGUGGGCGAUCUCGUCCUACGACGGCGGCAAAGCAAUCAAGGACGCCACAAGCUGACUCCACCUUGGGAGGGCCCAUACGUGGUGGCCGAAGUCCUGAAGCCAGGAACAUACAAGCUCGCGGACGAAAAAGGGGCAAUCUUCACCAACACAUGGAACAUCGAACAGCUACGUCGAUUCUACCCCUAGAAUUUUAGAGCUUUAUGUUCCCAUGUUCAUUCUGUACCAAAUCCUUAUGAAUAAGUGCAUGAAUGAAUGAGAUCUUUCCCUCGAGCAAUUUAUUUUUUCAUGAUGUUAGAAGGGAGUACCAACUAUGACCCAUCAUAGUCGAUACCCCCUCGGGGGCUAGCAGGGGGGUGCCCCCCCAGUGUCAAAAAAAUCAAAUAAUCCUUUUUGUUCCUAUCUGUAGACUUCAUACGGUCGAGUAGUAGAGGCACCUCGAGCCCCUUAGCCUGAGAACUCCUACGCCCCCGGGCUACGAAAACUCAACUCGCUUCCUCACCCUUGAGGAUAUCGAGGCCGCCUUAAGCAAAAGACCAAACGAGGAAUACAAACAUAGGCACAAAAGGAAAAAGAGCCUCGAGCGGAAAGACGGGCAAACAUUCACGAACAUUAUAAAUCACUUAAAAGCACAAUAUUACAUUAAAUAAAGUGGCAAAGUACUAUACAAGGGGCCUAGGCACCCAGAGCAGGCUCGCAUGCCUCAGUCCGCGUCUCAAUCCUCGCCACCGCCACCCGCGCCUGAACUAGUCUCAGGAGGAAGUACUUCUGGCUCGAACAACUUAGCCAGCCUCUCCCCAGGAACCUCCGCGUCGUCGAUCAAGGCGUGGAGCCUCUCCUCGUUCUCCGCGUCAGUCUUGGAGAUGUCGGUGAUGAAGCCGUGGGACACCACCUCCAUGUCGUACGAAAAACCCGAGCAGACUACCGCCAUCGCCCGCUUCACGCCGACAUGAAGAGCGUCCCGCACUCGAUCCCUCAGUGCCACGCCUAAAUAGCACAGCUGAUCGACCAGUGCGUCGCCUCGAGCUUCCUCCCUCGAUUCUUCCAUAGGCUCGAUCUCCCAAGAGGUCGAGAGAUCGCUUAUCGCCGUCCGCAGCCGACAGUUCAGAGCGACCUCCCCCUCGAGCUGGUCUUUGGCAGAGCGAGCCUCGACUUGGGCGGCCAGCAGCUCGUCCUUAAGCCCUGCGAAGACCAACACGAGGAAAUUAGCUAACACCAAACACACCUCGAAAAGAAAACUCGAUAGUAGGAACAUACCGCGAAUGCUCUCCUCCAGAGCCGUGUUCUCGCCAACCAAGUUGGUGUUGGCCCUCUCGAUCUCCCUGUUGGAGCGCGCCAGCUCGGUGUUGGCGACAUGAAGAUCUUCGAUCACCUUGCCGACUUGCGCGAUGGCCCCAUCUUUUUCCAGCAGCGCCCUCUUCAGAUGAUCGACGUCGUCAGAAAGGCUGCGGGAUCGAGCCCGCUCUGCCUCGAGAUCUUCGAGGGCCUUCCUCUUGGCCUCCUCAGCGGCGCUUCUAGCGAUCUCGCCGUUCACGCACUCCACCUUCAUCCUUUGGAAGGUUUCCCGGGCGGAGGCGAGUUCAGUCUGGAGGAGGCCCUUCUCCUUACCUAGGUCAGCAGCCGUGCUCUUGUAGGUCAGGGCCUCAUCUCGGGCUUUGGACGCAGCUUCCUCAACCGUCAUAGCCCGCUCCCUCAGCAGCGCAGCCUCUUCCACCGCCUUCCUCAAGGCCUCUCGAUCCUCGACCAGGGCAGCCUCCCUCUCCUUUUUCUCCUCCUCGAGCGCCAAGAGCUCCUUAUAGGCCUUGACGAGUUUCUCCUGCGACUCCAGGAGUUUGUCCUUGAGGACGGGGAGCUGCUCAUAGCCGCCUCUCAUGGCGUGGAUGAAGCUCGACUUGAUGCGGGAAGUUUCUUUCAGGUCCUGCGAGCCGGUGAUCGAGCAGUUAGGACACAAAACCUAUUGUUCUAUAAGGAUUAAGGACUGAAAAACACUUACGAAGUAGGCCGGUGCGAGCUCGUUGUUAACCACGUCAGACAGGAGCCCCACCGUGUGCUUCAUCCACAGGCGAAGCUCCUCGAGGUGCUCCCACUUAUAGUGAUAGGAUUGGCCUUGACCCCCGAUCGGGGAGGCUCGGGGGCUCCCUCCUGCCCUUGAGGGUGAGGCGCCUCGACCCGCUUUGGCGACGACGGGGCAGACUCACCCGCCAGGGGACGAGGCGGGGCGCUCUCAGCACCGAUCGGCGGUCGAGGGUCGGAGGAGCCUGAAAUGCGCACAUAAGCAAAGGUCAGUCGUCACCAGAAUGACAUAACUCCCAUCGCAAUGGGAAUAAGCCACUAACCCGAAUCUCUGGAGGCCGCGCCCGCAUUAAGCCUUUUCUCCAUUGAAGGCUGGGCCUGCUCAAGCGUCCGCUUCAACCUGAGGAAAGAGAAAUGAACAUAAGGGAGACUGUUGUACAAGGAAAGACAAAGAAACAGGAGAAUGAAAAUCACAGCGUCGAAGAACUUACCCCACAGGGAGAACAGCUCACCUGCCGGUGCCUCGACCGGCGGGCCUUGAGUCCCGCGGCAAGGCUCCGGACCCCUCACGGGCAGGCGCAGGCCUUGAUCCAGUAUCUACCACCUGGCGAGCGCCGGGGCUAGCGCUCCUGCGGCCAGUUUCGCCCUUCUCGGAGGCCGCGGCUCGGCCACGGGUCAACGGCCCUGUCGCCUAGGGCUUAGCCCGGCCACCCACCCUGGGUGCAGGGGGAGGUUGGGGGUGCGUGACGGCCCGACUUGGCGCAGGCGCGGGAGAGGUGUCAGCGCGGGGGCGGUGAGAUCCACCCGGCCCCUCCAGGGCGCUCCCGUCCGCAGGGCGUCGGCGUCGCCUCGAGGCGGAUCCUCGAGGAUCCGGUCGAGGCGAGACGCCAUCCCCUCGGAGUCGUCGCUGUCGUCAUCGCCGUCUCCGCCGUCGUCCUCGCUGGGGGAUUCUUCCUCAGGCUCGCCCCUUUGCCUAGACUUGGCUCGACGCGCCUCUAACGAUUGGCGAUCGAGAUUUUUCUUCUUCUUCUCUUUCUUUUCUGAGUCCUUUGCGGACUUCUUCUUUUCCGCGGAUUGCCGCCGCUUGUCACGGUCGACCCCGUCCUCCUUUACUGGAGGCCUCGAGGACCGAACGUCGAUCGGUCCCUGCGAGAGCGAAAGACAGUCUUAAAGAGGGAUCAAAGGAAACCUAGGAUCGAAACCAUGUGUAGAAAGAGAACUUACCAGAUCGACUGACCCCUCAUUAGGCCUCAUGGGGAAGCCAUUGACGUGCUCUGCCUGGAAGUCGCCGGCGGCGGCCACCCGGACCCGGGCCGCAACCUCGUCGUCCGCCGGAGCCUCGUUGGACAUCCGACACGCCUCGAGGUCCCGGGACGAGACACCAGGACCCAUCUCGUCCAUCCUCAGCGACCGAGACAUCAACGGGAGAACCCUCCGAUGAGCGGCGGUCAGGCCUUCCACGCGCAACUUCUUCAAGGCGUCGAGGAGGGGGUCGAGCCGCAACUGAUGAGCUUGGAUGACGCCGUAUGUCCAGUUCUCCGGGCGCUCCGUGAUCACGCGACCGGUGUAGGCAGGGAGGAGAUCGUCGUCAUUCGUCAGGUAGAACCACUGGGAGUCCCAUCUAGCGUGGUUCAAUGACAACCCCACCGGGAUGUACUCGCGUGGCCUCUCCAUCUUCCCCGUCUUCAGCACCAGGUUGAGGCACCCGGCCUGCACGGGUUUCCUCACGCCCGUAGUCCCAGUGGGGGCGUUGAAGAGCUCGCCCCUGUAGAGGUGGAGCCACAGCUCCCAGUGGGGCAUCAUCUCCAAAUAGCCCUCACACAUCGCGGCAAAGACCGCCGCGACGGUGAUAGCAUUUGGGGAGAAGUGCUGGAGCUCCACCCCGUAAUGGUGGUAGAGCGCUCGCAUGAAGCGGCUCGGUGGAGCGCCCAGGCCGUGGCGAUGGAACUUGGCAAAAGAAACCACAUAGCCAGUGGCGGCCUGGGCUCUCACUGGUCUGCCGCCGGCGCGAUCCACUCCGGCCGCGACGAUGAAGUACGGGGGCGCAGAAGCCCCUCCCUCUCGAGCUCCAACAACCGGCGCUCCAUCAUCGACGACGGGCGCCAGUCGUCGGCGGCGACGAGUCUCACAGGCAUCCUUGGGUGGGAGGAAGGCGGAUUCGCUACAGCUCGAGGGUGCGCGCGUGCGUGAGAUGGCAAGGGAGCAAAGGCAAGAAUGAAGGCAGAAAGCAUAAGGGAGAACGGUGGCGAGGCCACGGGAUAUUUAUAGACGGCGACCCACCAACGGACGGAUCCGAUAAACACGGUAACUCCACCCCCCAUAAAUGCGCCACCUAACGGUCCUUUCCCUCCUCACAGACGGGACGCUACGAAUUCUGCGCCGACACAGUGUCGCAACGGCUCCCGCCUGAAAAGACGCGCCCAACGGGCAAAAAGGUGAACCGCCGCGGUGCUUUUCCUUCCCCCAUAAGCCAAGGUACAUACCUGUGAAAGCCUCGAGAGGUCGCAGGCUGACCCGCCGAAAGGGUUCGACAGCCGACCUCGAGCACUGGAGUCAGGGAUGCCCGGCGAGUGGUCGAAAAUCGAGGCCCGCCUCGAGAACUCGCUGGGGAUGUCCAAGGUAGGGUCGAGACAGUCGAGAGGAAUCCCCCCGACGGGAGGCACCGAGCCACUGGACUCUAUCGAAUGAGACCAGCAUCCCCGACCACGUCGACCCCGCUUUAUGAGAACGCCUCCGGGCUACAACUGACCCUCUCGAAAGGGGCACAGGUUCUCACUUGGAUUACCCGUUAGGAACUCGAUCUGGGGUGGAUGACGCUCGCUCUAUCGAGAGUACGUCGAAACCCCCGCGCAAAACAAGCCAAUCAGAACCUUCCACCACAUGUGUCGACAGCGUUUCUGCACAUUAGGCGAUAUAACCCUCGAAGGAGUCAAAAACUCCUCCAAGGGCUCGGGGGCUACACCCGCGGGGUCGCUCGCGCGCCCCCACGGAACCUCGACCACAAAAAUAUAGCCUCCACUCGAGCGCAAGCGCUCGAAUGGAGACUCGGGGGCUACUGUCGAGGGUAUCAGUAAGGGGUACCCAAGCUGACAUACAUAACGAGAUUGCCCGUACACAAUUCGAGGCCUCCUACUCGACGCUCUGCCCAGUCACGUGUACUGUCAUCGAUGACCGCAGCCUCGAAGACGGAAAGGGCGUCGAGCGAAUCGGUCAGGGCUCGAGCGCCGGCUACCGUCGAAUACGGAAACAGGCUCGAGCGAAUCGGAAUGCGUCGAGCGCAAGGACGCCGCCCGCUGCCUGACGCGGGCACGGGAACCAGAGCAUUUAAUACGCCUGUCGCGAUCUCACCUAACACGCCAGUCACGGGAAGCGUGAUAGGGAACAGGCACCCGUCCCGUCAUUCUUUUUGCAGCCUUCCCCACCAAAUAACCCAGAACGUGUCAGGAUGCAGGAAGCAUGGUCGGAACGUCUAAUCAAGACCCCCUCGAGACGUCCAAGGUCAGCGCUUGGGCCAGCAAGGCGUUGCACGGCCACCAACCCUCGACCAGACACAUUUCCUUCCUGGGGAAGGGUUGGGCGUCGAAUGACGACACCACAGCCGCUCCGACGUAUCCGCCGCCGUGACGUGCAGGCGUGCAGCAGACAAACCUGCCCAAGGCGGCGUACAGAGCAGAAUACAGGGGCACGCGUAAUCAUCAUCAAGCUACCAGGACGGGACGGCUCGAAACCACGCCGGUACGGAGGCCUCGAGUAGGGCAGCGCGCCAUGCCCCUAUCGACCUCUACUCCAAACGCCUACACAUGUACCCUAGGCCCCUCCUUGGAACUAUAAAAGGGGAGGCCUGGGAGCGAUCACACAACAACACAACACUCAAGCCACACAUAGUAGAGCUUCCAUACUCCAUGUCCCUCCAUACCACGCUUGUAUUCACCCCUGUACAAGCACUUAGGUGCAAAAUAAUACAAACUCUCCCCCUCCCGCUGGACGUAGGACCUUCUCUUGCCCGAACCAGGAUAAAUCUUUGUGUCUUUUUGCAUCACCAUCUGGAAAGGGGAGCACACAUACAAAUUCACUAGUUGGUGUGACCCCCCGGGGGGAAAACACCGACACUUCUCAUAAAUUAUAUCAUCAUCUUAAAAUGCUCGUGAUAGGGAAAUGUACAACCUUGCUGCUACUAACACAAAAAGGUUCUCGACUUUGAUUGUAGCACCUAGUUUUAAGGAUAAAACCAGAUAUACACUUUAAGUGAGUCAAGGAAGUCAAAUCAUACAUAUGGCUAAAAAUAAAGGUAAUAUAAAAUAUAAUGCUUAAUGUAUAAUUCAUUUAGUAUAAAGAAAAUAACCUUAGGCACAAAUAAUAGAUAGACAACUCUGAUCUUUAGGUGAAGACUCACUCCAUAGGGAUAACUGAUUGGUUGAUCGCAAGCCUCACUUCUUUAAACUCUAGCAAUCUGGUAUCCAUCUAGGACUUUUUCAAUGUAUAGAAAAUUAAAGCCAACGUAAGUAAAUACCGUACUCAAUAAUAUAACAUGGGGUUCACAAGGCUCAAAAGGUUGAUAUUGGUUUACUGUGAUUAGCUUUUAAUAAGUCAUAACAAUAGAUAAGCAAUGGCCCAAUUAAUCACGUGAACCUGAUAAGAUGAAUAAUAAAAUAGCAUUUUAAAAACAUCGGCAAUCAUUAGUCAUUAUUUCAUAAGUUUUCUAUGCCGCUCAUGACCACUAGCGCAUGUGAUAUAGCAGUUUUACACUCUGCAGAGGUUAUAUAUUUUUACCUUGAGCCGUGAUUUGCCCUUUCGCCUGAGGUAGUUAAUCUCUUGACCCACUACCAAGGAAGGUGGGUUCAAUAUGAAGCAUUUUAAAAUUACCUCUAACUUGUUAGUAGCCACUAGGUUUCAGCAGCUAGGCAAAUGGAGUCCCUUUAACAGAGUGGCACAUUCCAUGCAGGCUAUACACACCCUGAGAGAUAAAGAAGUCAUUCUACAACCUAGACCUCUCUUGCACCUUUUGGUAACCACUAACGAGUUAGAAAAGCUUAGUUUACUUAGCUGAAUCCAAAGUCAAAGCCAUAGCUCUGUGGUUGUACUGUAAGCCGUGGAUUUUACAAAUUUGCUUAUAGACUAGGUAGUAUGCUCGUGCGUUGCUACGGGACAACUAAACCUUUAUACUAAAAACACAUAGAUCACAUAAUAAGAUUACAAUAAUGCCUGACAAAUAAUUCUGCUCCAAUAAUAAGGGCAAAACUGUUUCUUGAAAUGUAGCAAUUUACAUCAAGAACAUGCUCAUUCAACUUCUCUUCCUAUUUCCAUCACUUUUUUAUUUGCACCCACCAAAUGGCAGAUAUUAUAUACAUGCAAAUUUGAGAAGGCAUCACUGAGAUUUUCUUUAAAUGGGUUCUGAGGCCAAUGAAAUCUAACCAUCUACAAGAAACACUUGAUGAGACACAAGCACAUAGAAUGUUAUUUUUGCCCUUAAGGGUAAAUUUUCUAGGGACAUGUAAGUGGUUGAUAACAAGUAGGUUAUUUUCUAGUACAAAACUCAAGGUCCCCUUAAUACCCUCUGGAUCUCUACUAAAAAAACAAAAAUGUGGUUUAUAGACACAAAGUAUUCCCAACCUAGAAUAUGUUGUGGGUGACAGUAUCAUUCUAGAUAAGGCCUCUAGUGUUUCCUUGACGAUGCCCAAGCUGUUGAUACGUCAGAGUGGGUGACAGUAGCUUUCCCUUUGCUCCAUCACUUCGCGACCCGCUGGGCAUAUUGAAGCAGCAAAAUAUGCAGGGCAAGAACAAUGGGUGUACACACUGAAAUCCAGGCAAGAGCAACAUAUAAGUAGCCAUUGUCCUGAAAUAUCAAAUACCAGCAUCUGAAAUUAAUGAAGAAUUUCGCCAACAAAUUUCAUUUGUUUUACUUUCUUGUAUUGCAAUGUACUGAACUAAACCACUUCAUACAAAAAAGUUUGACUAUUUUUAGCAGUUACCCUUUUUGAUGGUUUAGCCUUUUGUCAACAACGGGUUUAUCGAGAACCUCCUUCCCUUUGCUCAUCUCCACUACCAAGCCAUUCUUCAUAGAUGCCAACAACGAUUCUUUGUUGUGAUAUACUCCGGUGCUUGUUGAGGAACAUAGGUGACAACAUCGAUCACCAAUAGUGCCGUGAAGGUUCAUGGUAGAGUGCCACCUCCACAUAUGGCCCAAUCCCUAAAAGAAAAGUUACAUUCAGACUUCCAAAGAGAAAUUUAUGCAGCAAUGCACGAACCAAUGCUAACAUUUGCAGGCACAUUAGCAACUUCUGAAGAGUAAGCAAAUUCUGCUUGAUUUCGGCAGCAUAGGGUGUGGCGUCAUUCUCCACUGCUUGGGCACCACCCAUAUCUGAGCUUUGGGAAACUUCCUGGUGAAUGGACCGAUGAAGAUUUUGUGUUUGUAACUUGUAAGCGAAGGUCAGUAGCACAUGAGUAUGCUUAAGCUAUUUUCAGGACAUAUUCCUAAUAGACUUGUCGUCAAAAAGUAUUUCCACCAGGUGGAUUUCUUGAGAUCCAAGUUUUUACUGGAUCAAAAUGAUUUGAACAAAAAGCAUGCCAAUUAAUAUUUUUUUGUGACACCUAGCAAUUGCAAACCGAGUUAAAAUGCAAACCGUGUAUCUUUGUAAUCGAACAAUAAUCAAUGCUGCAAACCAAAGAACUACUCCUGCCCAAUGUCAUCUAAUCUAAUAUAAUAGUAUUCUGCAACCCAUUCCAUUUAGUAGAUCGGAAUUGGACAGCCAAUUCCCGUAAGACAACCUAACACAAGGAGAGCAGGGAGCCACUUUGGAGAGAACAUCAAUUCCAUAGAGCAGGAAGGGAGAAGAGAUGGCAUACCUCAUCAGGAGAAGGCGGUGCCACAGUUGCAUAGUUGAAACUUACACAUGCGCCGACGUCAGUGGCAGCGGAGGCCCUCAGCACAGGCCGUGGGGGUUUUUUUCCCUACAAAAACCAAAUAGGAAACACCAGAACUAAAAAGACAAUACACAAUGAUCAGCUCAUUUUUUUAAGGCAAGCUAAGAAAUAGCGCUUAUAUGCUGAAACAUUGGUAAGAGUCAUAGUAAUCUUAGCUUGUACAUGAAUUAAUCAGUUUGAAAGAAAAACAGUUAUGGAAUCAGGAGGUAGCCAUUAGAAGUGUGAAAACUAAAAAUAAACAUGCAUUUUUUAUUCCAAUGAACUAAGGGUAAGUAGAGAUUAUUAUAUAUAAAUCAAUGAUACACAAACUGAUCAAUCAACUAAUCAGCUCCAUAACCUAUUAGUGCUAAAGCAUUAGUCUUUACCAUUGUUUUUUAAAAGAAGGAAAGCUUCACUGCAACAUUAUUAUAUAUAAAAGUGGUGUUCGGAGGGAUGGAGCAUGACUAUUCUGAGAGAGCAUGGUACCUUCCAUGGAGCCGGACUGCAAGAGACAUUAGAUUGAGUAGGACAACCGCUGGACAUGGAAAAACGAAGGAGUAAAUAUGAAUCAUCUUGCAUCAAGAGAAUCUACAAUCAAAUAAAGGAUAAAAGAAAUCAUCCAAUUGGCCUCCAAGCUGAUGGCAUAGAAAAGUUUGAAAAUACUGCAGAAGCAAGGAAGAGGAGUCACCCAAAAAAAAGAAGAAAAUGCUAAUAUAAAGUAAGGCUCUCAUAGUAAAAUUCAGAAAAGGAUGUUCUAAUGUAAAUGAAGAUCCAAAAAGGUAAUAUUCUCAAAGUAUUAGUAUGUGAUUCACCUAUAUUUAUUUUGUCAAAAAACAUAUGCAAUAUUCUCAAAUGUGUGCCAAACAGUGUCUUGUGGUUGUUGAGGUUUUCAGAUGGAGGAAAAUUCCUAACACAUUUGAAGUGAAACUAAUAUGAGUGAGCUAUUAUCCAUUUUCAUGUGCUCUAUAUUUAAAUGAACUGAGGUUGUAUUUCAGAUAAAACUUUAGGUAGUUCAUUACUACUUGCAAGUGAUAGCAAUUCUGCUAAUUCAACAAAACUAACAUCUAUUGUGAUGCAAGUGAUAGCAAGUUAGCCAUUUUGUCAUGGUUGCUGGUCGAACUCUGAAGGAAACAUCUAAGAAUCCCUAUCUGGGUAUCUCAACACAUUAUAUUUAGUUUGCAAUUGGGAAUUGGAUCAUGUAUUCUAAAUAAAACACAUUCAGUUUGCAGUUGGGAAUCCAACAAGGAUAUAUUACCUGAAACCUGUUGCUCCCUUAGCCGAGAGAAAAGUUUAUUGAAAUUCUUCUCCUAAAAGAAGAACCAUCGAACAACCAAAUCAUAAAGCGAGAAAAUAAACUGAGAUGUCAAGAACUUGGAAGAAUAUAAUCGCUUACUGUGUGGCUGUGUGCUUGUGUCUGAUCUGCACGAGGAAUAAGCUGACACAACCAAGAACAAAUUUCAUCACAACAUGUCAUUGCAGUGGGUACUAAAUCACAAAAAUGCAAAAUAGAAAUUAGAAGAACCUUCUGCUCUUGUGCUUAGCUAUGGGUUUCAUUUACAAAUAAAUCACCUAAAAAAUUAAAUAGUCAAGGAAAAAGUGGGUUGUACUAAGUUGGUACUAAAAAUAACACUGGUCUUAUGCUUAGUUAUUGUCUAACAUUUACAAAUAAAUCACCCAAAAACUAAACAAUCAAGAAAGGAUUGUAUACUACAUUGCCGCUCCAUGUCUUUCACUUGAACCAUGAGGGCCAUGACCAUGAACCAAAACAGUGACAUGGGCAGCUAUAGAAUUUAAGAUUUCUUGGUCCUUGUUAACUGCUAACACAAUGAAUUUGAUAGACCAACAACUUAUUCAAUUAAAGAAUUUAAGACCUUAUACUUCAAACAUUAGAAAGUAGGAUAAACAUGCAACAAUUUAAUUGUAUCAUAAAUUCAAUCUCAGGAAUUAAAAAAAUUAGCUCACCUGUGUCAAACCCAAGAUCUCAACAUCUUCACCAGUUUUAACUGCUUCUAAUACGCCCAUUAACAAUAAUCCGACCUUGCACAUCAAACAGGCUACUUAAAAUCCUAUGAUAACUCACUCACAAUAAUUUUCUUUCUUUGAUACUUUAGGGAGCAAUACUGCAUUGGGAUGCCUGAUUCAAUUUAUAAUUUUCUGAGGAACAUGACAGACAUGAAAGAAAACUGUAGGCAGUUCAAAAAGAGAGAAAGAAAACUGUAGGCGUAAAAGCCACUGAAAAUACUUUACAUACUAAAAGAAAAAAUAUCCUCACACAAGUAUAGAGCAGUAAAGAAUGUUACUGAAACCACUCUCUUUGGUUCUAUGCAGUAGGAAUCUAAUAUGGAUGAGAUGAACUGAAUCAUUGCAUAGUACAUAACUGGAAACAAGAAUGUCUCACUCCAAAAUAAUUAGCAAAUAUUUUAAAAAAUGUACAGUACAUUUCUAUCAAUGAUUUUUUUUUCAACAUCAAAUUUGUUCACAUAUAAAUAGAUCCCAAUAUAAAAUGCCUAAUACAUACAACAAUGUUGAAAAAGGCUUAGCUACAAGUCGGCCGUACACCACACGAGCACGCCUGAUUGGUGCUUGACCGGCUGACCCGAGGCAGAGCGGAGGGAGGACCCAAAGAACGUGCAGGACAGAGAGGAGGAUGGAGAGGUACCUGGAGAUUUGGUUCGAGGGCUUGCAGGCCAAGAACUCCUGCAAUGAGGUUCCAUCGCUGGUGUUGAUUCUGCAGCGUCGUCAAGAACCCUAAGUGCCGCUUUCGCUUCACCGCUGACCUCGACAAGCAUAGCGAGAUGAAGGCCACCAAGCACACACCACGUGCAUCCUCUGCUGCCGCUGCUUAGUUCCACCGAGAUCCACAGCAAGAUAGGCCGUGGGAUUUGGACCUGGGCGAGGAGUGAUGGGGAUGGUGUUCCAAUAGGGACACGAGAUGCGGAGACGGCGAGCGGCGGCGUGUGCGACCAUAGGGGUGGGGACUGGGAAGGAUAGGUAGCAGCAUGCGCAGUGGUGGCCCUGCGUGAUUGGAGUGGGAUCCCGAUAGGGGAUGGAGAGUGAUCGGCGGAGAUGGGUCGCAGGAGCGGAUCUCACGGAUGAAUCGCGGGGGAGCGGACGCAGAUGGCGGUUUCCUUUUCUGCCAGGCCAGGUAUCGCACGGGGGAAACAAGGUGAAAGCGGGCUGGAGAUCGCACCGGGGAGAGCAAGGUGAUGGCAGCGUGGAUCGAGAAAUCCGCGACGGCGAGGAUUGGGGAUGGGAGCUGCUCCGAGCAGCAUCGAUCCGAGGAAGUUGAUGGCACCGCGAGGUGAUGGCGGCGUGGAUCCGAGAAAUCCGCGAGGGCGAGGAUGGGGACGGGAGCUGCUCGCACGCAGGCCCCACAUGUCGGCGCGGUGGAAAGAUCGCACGGACCGAAGCUGAGAGACUAAACGAAAAGAAAGUUGCACCACGAAAUAGUCUUACUUUUGUUCUUUUUAUUAGUUGUAGUCCUCACGAAGGAUAAGAGCAUCACGUGUAAAGCCAAAUGCUCUCACCUUUUAAUUCACGUUGCUAAAAAACAUCUUUUAUUUCUCAUUGAAUAUUCAAUUGAUUAAGUUACCGAUCAUGAUCAAAAUCAACUGAGCACUAGCAUUAGCUAUCCAUAUGCAAAUAAAUCCCAAGGUGACAAGAAAUCAGGAUGUCAAAUAAUUAGAAAAAGAGAUCUUUUACAAUGGUUGGAAUCACAUCCUAUCGCUUCUGUAAAAUAUAAAUUUUUGUUGAUUUAAUUUGUUGAAGGGCAAUAUGGUCAUUUCGUAUACCCCUCUCACUCCCCACCCCCGCCGGGCCCCCACCCCCACGCCGAGGUCGUCUGCUCCCAACUGCACGCGGUCUUUCUCUCUCGCCAUCGCCCUCGCCGCUGCCGCCCUGCUCUCUCCCUCGCUCUAGCCACCGCCGCCUCCCUCCUCUCUCCCUUACUCUAGCCACUGGCACGCCCUUUCAUGUCGUCGCCCUACACUCGGCCCAGCCACCAUCAUUGCCAUCAGGAACGAGAGUGAGGAAUCCAAGAUCUGGAAGGCGCGUAGGGGACGGCAAGCCGACAGCGUAGUUGGGGGCGACGGUGCGGCGGCACGACACAACAACGACGCGAUCUCCACCGCAUUCUCACCGGUAAGGCUAUGCCUUCUCUUGGUUCCCUGCUACGCCUCAGCUCCUGCUUCACAUUCACGGGUGAAGGCAGUUGCCGCCGUCGGCGCUGUCUAGCUCAUGGUGGAUGGCGCCGUACUGGUCAAUGUGAACGGCUACCUGAAAUCCUUGUCCUGGCUAUUGCUGAAUCGGCACCCCACACUACUAGCUCCGUCAGUGCACCGGCCGCUGGCUGCUCAUCUCAUCUCAUCCUAUUUCUCGGAUCCGUUAUUGCUCCAUGUGUUGAUGCUAUUAAAUUAUGCUCGGUAUUAUGAUAAAUUGCACAGAUUGCUUGCGAAUUGCAAAAAGGAAGUCCUGAUUGUAUAUUGUGUAGUUGUGUCAGUUAGAAACUUACAAUUUUAAUGAAGUACUGAGUUCAGAGGUGUAUACAGCUUUACAUAGCUUCAGAGUUCAGAUGCGCCUAAAUCUAUCACAUAUCCUCUUUGAGAAAAUGCAUGUUCAUGUCCAAAAAAUUGGGCUGUGUCUGGGUUUUAUGUGUCUGGGUUUUAGAGUGCAAUCUAUCCAGGUGCUUUCCUCUAACUUGAGCCGGUGAAUCAAAAUAACUGUAAAACUGUGACUAGUUAGUUGUUUGACAACCCCAAGAAUAUUUUGUUUUUAUGUACUUGAGCAGUACGUAGUAGCACAAGGUUAGAGUUCUGUAGCAGAAUUUGUCUAGUUUGGCAUGGGCUUUUGGACAUUGGUAUUUGUAAUAUAAAUCCUUAGUAUAAAUUGAUCUUGUCCAUUUACUUUUAGAAACAUGGCAUGAUCUUUUAAUUUAUGUGACAUGUCUCCUUGUUUAUUUUCACCUUUUUGUUUCCACAGAAGAAUCACACUGUUUUGUAUUACCCCUUUUAAUUUGUUUUGUGGAAUUUUAAUUUUUUUAAUGUUGUUGAUUGAGGUAGGAGGAAAUGUGAGUACAAUGAAAUUGUUAGGCAGAUGUUUGGUAAUGAAGAAGAAGCAUUUCAGUUUUAUAACAAAUAUGGUAAGGAGAAAGGAUUUAGUGUUAGGAGAAGCUACUGUGAGUGGGAUAGUGGCCAUAAUGAGAUUACCCUUCGGAAGUUUGUCUGCAGUCGUUAAGGUUUCCGGGAAGAGAAGGAGCUGAAGAGGGAGAGUAAGAAGCGGAAACCACGGAAUAUUACUCGUGUUGGAUGUCGUGCUAAACUUAUGAUUGCACGGGAUCAGAGCACAGGGCAGUGGUAUGUGAAGGAUUUCAUCGGUGAACACAACCAUCCGAUGGCGAAACCAGACGUUGCUUGUCUGCUGCGUUCACAUAGAAGAAUCAGCGAUGAUAAAAAAGUUGAGAUUUUGGUGAUGCAGAUUUCUGGGAUCCGUAAAUACCAGAUAAUGGAUAUUAUGCAAAAGCAGUAUGGUGGGUACGAUAAGGUUGGAUAUACAAUGAGGGACCUGUACAAUUUCUGCCAUCGCAAUAAGGUGGAGACAGUUGCCGCUGGUGAUGCUCAAACAGUCAUCAGUUACUUCACGGAAUGCAAAUAUAGGGAUCCUGAUUUCUUUUUCCAAUACAAGACUGAUGGGGAAUGGCACCUGAAGGGACUACUCUGGUGUGACUGUCAAUGUCGGUUUGAUUAUGCAGCAUUUGGUGAUGUCGUCGUAUUUGAUAGCACGUACAAAACUAAUCGAUACAACCUGCCCCUUGUUCCAUUUGUUGGGGUGAAUCACCAUGGCAGCACCGUUCUCUUUGCAUGUGGAAUUAUUGCACAGGAGACUAUUGAGUCCUAUGUGUGGAUGCUAAGGACAUUCUGUGAUGCCAUGGCUUAGAAGCAUCCGGUUUCUGUGAUCACUGAUGGAGAUCUUGCUAUGCAGAGAGCAAUCAGGCUGGUGUGGCCGAAUUCAGCGCUAGGCUAUGCAUAUGGCAUGUUGAGCAGAACAUUGUGCGUAAUCUGCACGAAGAUGGUGUCAAGGAUGAUUUCAGACAUUUUCUUUAUGACUGUUGGUCCAUAGAAGAGGUUGAGAGGAAAUGGCUAGAAUUCUUGGAUAAACAUAAUGUUACAGAUAAAGAGUCGUGGUUGUAUCAGAUGUAUGAGAGGAGGGAAAUCUGGUGUGCUGCGUAUCAUGCUGGUAAGUGCUAUUUAGGACUGAGGAGCAACCAACGGAGUGAGAGCCUAAACUCUAGGCUUCAGGUACAUCUAGAUCGUAAAAUGACACUGUUUGAGCUGGUACAACACUUUGACCACUGCCUUUCAUGACUGCGUAGUAAUGAAGCGCAUCUGGAUUUUGAAGCAGAGAAUUCUGAGACAUGCUUACAACCAGAUGCUUCAAUUAUUGAGAACUGCGAAAUCGUUCACACCAGGAGUUUUUUCUAAGGUGUAGUUCAGCAUAAGAGCAGCCAGCAAGUGUUUUAUGAUUGAGCACCUAGAUGGCUAUGUUAUGCAGACGUAUAUUGUUGGAAAGGUUGAUAAAGGAGACAGACAAUACUUUGUGAAAUGCGAGAUAUGUGUAGAUGAAGGCAAUGUGAAGGGAAUAUCUUGUUCUUGUCUUAAGUUACAUUCCCUUGGAACCCCCUGCUCACACAUCUUCUUUGUAUUGGGCUAUCGCGAAGAUCGCGAGCUUCCAGGAUGUUGUGUUUUGAAAAGGUAGACAAGGGGCGCCAAGACUGCAUUCCCUCCUAUAAGGAAGAGCACCAUGUAUGACUACUCUGAUAGCCUGUAGGAUCCUAGCGGGCGGAUCCAGCGAUGGGCAAUGUAUUGUAUAUCUAUUUUUAGUGCUGUUAAAGUUCAAAGCAAAUCAAAACUUUGUAGCCUCGGUGUAAAAAGAAAGAAAAAAACCUUCCUACAGCACUUAAACUAUAGUUCCAGCUAGUUUACGCAGCAAUCAUAUGAACAAAGGGAUUCAUUCGGUUGUAGUUCAGAGAGGAAUUCAGAGAAAAUAAAAGCAAACCCCAUUCAGUUACGAACUACAUUCCUAGCUAACUCAAAUAGGCAUUAAUUCAAUAUUUGACAUGCAAGCCGAUCACACCAAGGUCACACAAAAGCAUGGGAUGGGUAGGGGAUAAACUUACAUAGUGUAGAUCAAUAGCACUAGGCAGUGCGUGGCGGCGUGCUCUCCACAAGGCAGACGGCGAACUAGGAGACGAGGUCUCGGUACACGACGAACCAUCAGCCACAGACGGCGCACUUGGAGACGACCUCACAGUAGAUGGCGAAAUGGAAGUAGACGCGCCCCACGGAUGGGUUCGACGUGUUAGCCGGAACCCGCGCCCUCCUUGACAGAUCUAGUCGAGGACGCUAGAUCCCGCGGCGUCCUACACAGAAAUGGCCACUGCCACUGGAUCUCACGCCCUCGCUGCUCCGCGAGGUCGAGUGGUAGGGAGCCGCUGCUCCCGUGGCUGUACAGGACGGCGGCUGUAUGGAGGAGAUACCAUAGGAGGGCGGCGGCUGCAAACGAGAGAGAGGAGAGACGGGGGAGAAAUGAGACGAAAGAGUUAGGGUUCUUCGAUUUUUAUUUCAAGCCAAGUGUAUUUCAACCAUCCGUUUUGAUCUAACGGCAAAGAGCCAUGUGGAGCCUGUUUUGCUGGGACAAACAAGCGGGCCGCGGCUGGACCAAGACCCAUUGUGUGGUCCUGACCAAGCCAAGGCACAGCAGUCCACGCCAAAUGUUUAGUCCCACCUCGCUUGCAAUCUAAUGAAGAACUCAGCUUAAAAGCACAGGACCCCGGCAACUUCCGAACUCUUGUAUAUUACAGACAGGUCGGAUCAGAAAAACGAAUCACGUGGGCCGAUUGGGAUGGUUGGCCUGGUUGGGCUCCCUUUAUGGUAGAGCCUGACCUAGCCUGUGCCACCUCCUUUGCCCACGGGUUCCAUGUUUUUUAUUUGGGCCAUAAAUAAUUUUUUGUCAAUCUAUUUAUUUGAAAUUUGAAAUUUUUGGUAUAAUUUAUUUUUCCCCAAACCAUCUAUUUUAAAAUUGAAUUAUUUACAAUAAUUUAUUUUUUGCCAAACCAUUUAUUUUGAACUUGAAUUAUUUUUAGUAAUUUGAUUUUAUCAAACCAUUUAUUGCAAAAUUGAUUUCUUGUUAAAACUACUGGUAGAGACUAGAGAGGCUAUGAGCUUUUAUAUCCAAACCUUGUAAUGUAUUUAUUUUUCAUCGUCGCUAAUCUUGGAGAGGUCCGGAUUGGGACGACACAUGAUAGCGGCGACAUGUUAGGGCUAAGAGUACUAGUCCACUCACAUGAGACAUGAGAGUGAUCAAUUCACUGUCUUAUUGUGUUAUUAGCCUAUUAUUCAACUCGGACGACACGUCAAAGUGGUUCACUCUGGUGGCACAUGAGAGUGAUCGAUUCACUUUCUUGCAAGUUAGGUUUUUGACACUACAGAGACAAAUGUAAGAGUAUCCAUUGAGUAUGUAUCGUGUUAGGACAAUAAGUCAAGACGUGGGAUCGAACCACUAAAUGAUCACAAAUUGGAAGUAUAAGUUAAUAUAAUUAAUUUUAAAACGAGUGUGAAUUGCCUUUUUUUAAAAAAUAAUAUACUACAUGCAUAAAUGGGUAAUUUAUUUUUUUAUUCAUAAAUAAUGGCAAAUAAAAAUAAACUUAAGGCGUGCAGCAUGUCUGAUGCCCUUACAUGGGCUGGGCCGCUGGGGUGCUCUUGAAAACUGCCGGCUAACCAAUACCGAGCGUGAUUUAAACAAAAAACAAUGCCGAGCGUGAUUAUAAGAACGACCGUGAUUAUACCGUGCUCUGAUUUUUCUUAAAAACGGAAAUAACCUCCUCUUCCUCCUAAAUUAUAGGAUCGUAUCUCUCUUUCCUGAUUUCUUCUAUCUCUACUUGCUUUAUCUCUUGGAUAGGAUCUCUACUUGUUUAGGCCCUGUUUAGUUCCCCACCCAAAAAUUUUUCAUCCAUCCCAUCGAAUCUUUGGACACAUACAUGAAACAUUAAAUAUAGAUAAAAAAAAUAAACUAAUUACACAGUUUAGUUGAGAAUCACGAGACGAAUCUUUUAAGCCUAGUUACUCCAUGAUUAGCCUUAAGUGCUACAGUAACCCACAUAUGCUAAUGAUAGAUUAAUUAUACUUAAUAAAUUUGUCUUGAAGUUUCCUGACAAGCUAUGUAAUUUGUUUUUUUAUUAGUUUCUAAAAAUCUCUCCCGACAUCCUUCCGACAUAUCCGAUGUGACACCUAAAAAAUUUUCGUUCCCAAUCUAAACAGACCCUUAAUACGUAGAAUUCUCUCUUCCUUUCUAUCCUCCUCCUCGUCAACUCCCCUGCUCGUCCUCCGUCCGAGAAGAGUCGCCGGGAUUCAACGCUCGGUGUGAGAUGACCAAAACAUGAAAGGCCGCCGGGAAUCCACGCUCGGCCACUAAGAACAAGGAGGAUGCGGCAUCAUCCUUGAAGGCGAUGAAUAAUGAUCCAUUUAAGAAUACAAAUUCCCGCGUCAACAAGCGAUAUGACCUGAGGAGCAACUACGAUAGGAACUGCCAUGAUUGUAAGAUCACUCGAGGUUUGCCCUGCUGUGCGUGCACAUCUGAUUCCAGCUCAGACGCCUCGUCACCCGAAGAUGUACGUGCUAUUUUAUUGCUACAUGUUGUUAGAUCUGGCCGCAUAAAUUAUCAUGUUUUUUAUACAAAUUAACCUGUUAGUAAGUAAGCAUAUCAUUUCUUAUUGUGAAACUUUACCUUGUUUGUUCAGGGACCUCUAGUUUGAUAGAAGUGUAUAUAAUUUUGAGAUCUGAAAUUAAAGUAACAAUAAUAAAUGUAGAUUUUACUUAAAGUUAAUGCUAGUCCCAUUUAUAUUCUAAUGGCAAAUAUGAACUUUAUCUAAGCAGUAGGCAAUCAUUCAUGAAUUUUAUCUAAUUAAUUAACUUUAUCUUCCACAGCUCGGGUAUUGCCCAAUCAUGCAGGACCUUCUUAUCAAGACGCUCCAAGAGAACUCAGCCACCAUGGUUAAACAAAUCAAUUACCUUGAAAACAAGGUUCUCACCAUGGAAGCGAAGAUCGAGAAGCUUGAAAAGGGGAUGCCAAGCCAAACAAGCAUCACAAAAGGUGAUGUUUUAUGGAACAACUCUUUCAAAAAUAAAGUUUUAGAGAGCAACAUUACUUUGUGUAUCUCUGAAUUUUUAGAUUUCUUGUGGCACUUAAACAUACUAUGAAUAACGAGACUGCAAAACGUGCUUAUUGUUCCAAAGUAUCGAAUAACUUAUGAAUACCAUGUUCUGCUACGACAGCUAAUAUGCUUCGUGUUCAUUUGUCAAAAUAUGAUUGUUUCGAUGAUAUACUCUACGAACGUCGUUUUGAACAAAAAUGAUGAUGUAUGGUUGCCACAUUCAUCUAUUCUGUUGUUGAUAAUUGUGCAACUCAAUUGUGAAAUUCCAUUGCAGCAAAAAAAAAAAGAGAUCAAGUUAACUUAUGUGAACCAUAUUUGGCAAAAUCUGAAUGGUGAUAUUCAUUGAUGCCACAUAAAUGUAUCUCAGAACAGUCACGACACCGGGCCAGCUAACUUAUCAUAGGUUCACAUGGUCAUAUUCCAGUGCCAUACACAAUCUCCAAAACAUGAGUGGAAGCAAAAGUUAUACGACGCUGCUCAACGCUCACUGCUUUGAACCAACAAAUAUACAACCUACAGGGUGUGGCCUCUCUAAAUCCAGUUCUAGCGCACUUAUGCAGUGCAAUAUCCAGCCAAUGGGGAUGCUGCCGCUGCUCCAAGUGAGCGUCGUGGUGAAGGUUGAACUCAUUAGCGAAUUUGGGGCGGCAUCUGAAUGGUGAACCAUAUUUGGCAUCUUCUAGCUAUUUCAGCUCUUCCAACACCUGCGACAUAGACACAACGACGUAGAAAAUCAAAUAAUUAGUCUUUAGCUAACGUAGAGCUAGGACCCAUUAUUGACAUAUCACAUUAAAAGGUACCAUCCAUCAGGCAAUCAAGCCCUUUCACCAUCUAAACAGAAGCCCAUGCGGUCGAGCAGGGCGUCGACGUCAAUGGCGGCGGCCCUGAGCUCCUGGAGCCAGACCCUAACGGCUUGGGCGCGGAAGUAUGCCCCACAAACUGACGAUAGCCCAAGUUCAUUGAGAAGGUCAGAAGAGCUUUACUAGUCAGAACUCAGAAGAGCUUUGUCAUCAGGGAUCACGUUACAAACACAUUCAUCAUGUGUACAAAUUAUUACAACGUGAAGACUACUUUUGAAUCAUAGGGCCAUACUCACAACAGGCCACUAAUUUUAUCAUGCUAAAUUAUUUCAAAGAUUCUGAAUGACACAAUACAUGCUAUUCUUUUCAGUAAACCUCACGACAACAUGCUAUUCUUUCCAUUAUAAAUCUAUUAUUUCACCGGAAAACCAAAUUCUACCAUAUGAUAUUCCACCACAAAAUCAGUCCUUUCUAUAAGUGGAAUACAAAGCUGUAAAGUGAUAUUUCACUAACUAGCAACUAGGAUCAGUCUCUAACUGAGAUAAGUGCUGACUUCACACAAACAAGAGUUGAAUCAAAAGACAAUAGGCAAUUUCUGUCAAUUUAGACAUAUGAGAGCACUCCAAAGUUUUCACAAAAAAUUAUCCAAGUACUGAGAUGGAAUUGCUCACAUGAGUAUGUCAUGCACAUUGUCAAAAUCAUCCCCACAACCUGAUUAGAAAUGUAGCCUUUGCCAAUGAGCAGUGUCGAAUCCACCUUUAUUAGCCAGAGCCAGAUCACUGAAUCGGUUAGACCAUUCGAGAUCGAUUAGGAAAUAAUUAACAGAAAAUUAAUACAAGGAUCGAACUCUAAAAAAAAUUAAUACAAGGAUUACUACAAAUUAGGGUUCAAAUCUGCUUGCUCACCUAAUACAGAGAUAAUUUCCCCUGCAAUGUACAACAACACGUAAAAUCUCUAAUAGUCCGUGAAUUUGUUGGAUGAUAUCCACUGUAACUGAGGAUCAACAUCACAAUUCACCACACAAUUGCAAUGUCAUGAACUAGUUAUGCAUGAAUUUCACAUCAACAGGUUAAGUCUAUCAGUACACGAUGCUCUACCUUUUCUGCGUGGGGAUUUGAUAUUGAACCCCUUGUGCUGCUUUGUCUGCUGCAUCACACCUAUCUGGUAACCAAAUCCAGAUCUUGUACCUCAGGAUCUUUGUAAACCGACUGUGCCAGUGCUGUCUUCCCAAUGCCUGUCGUUCCCCAGAUGGAAAUCACCUCCAUUUCUAUACUAUCAGAAACCAGAGCACGGACAAUCUUCUCCAUCUCUUCGUUGUGGCCAAUGGGCCUCUCGUCGCGAUGCCCGGCGGAUUUAAGGAACCAUGGGUGCUGCAUUGGUUGAACCGUCGUCCUCCUCCCGUCCCCGACCUGCAACCUGUACAGCUCCCAUUGCUGCCGCGGACUGAGCUCAACGCUGGGCCAGAGCCGCUUCCGCUUCCGCGACUGCUCAGCGGCUGCUAGCCUGGACACAGCCGUGACGGUGCCUAGGCGGUCGAGCAGGGCGUCGAUGUUGAAGGCGGUGGCCCUAAGCUCCUGGAGCCAGAGCCUGACGUCUUGGGAGCGAGGGAGACCGCCACCGCCGUCGGCUUCUUCAUGUACAUCGCGUCUUCGGAUCCAACUCCCCCUCCUUGCCCGCAGCUCACCGGCCUUGCCAAUGACGUCCUGGAUGUCCUCGCGCGACGGGAGCGCCGGCGGGACCUAGGCAGUGGCAGAGGAGGAUGCGGCAGCUGAUGAACCCUAGAACGCGGCGGUCUGGAUGUCAUCAGGAGCAGAGGAUUUGGUGGCUUGAUGAACCCUAGAAAUAAAAUGUUAAUCUAUUUAGAAUCUCAUCAAACUAUAUUACUUCAAUUAUACAUACUCAACUAUACUACACAUUUUACAAUUAUGCAUUUACCUUUUUACCCUUUAUUAAAAUAAAAAAAAACUACAAAAAAGGAAUUACCACUCCUCUAAUUAGAUCCCUAACCCUCUCAAUUUCGGAAGCGAUGGGAGGCGAUGGGACGCUUAUGGCCCACCGACCAUAGACACAUCAAUCGCCUCUCAUCGCCUUACUCUCAUCGCUUCGCAUCGCUUUUCAUGCUCUGGGUCCACCGGUCAUAGACACACCAAUUGCUUCUCAUCGCCUCUCCAACCAUUGUAAAAAUAUUCAAAAUUCUAUGGGUAUCAAGGUAGACACAUGCAAAUGAAUUUAAGUGAUUAAAUGUGAAUAAGACAACAAGGAUGAUCCCAUGCUAUAUUUAUUUGAGGGAGACCAUCUGGCGCACUUUUAAUUUAAAUGUAUAUCCUUCUUCUCGACCUUCAAAGAUUUGCUUCUGGGUUCACCACGUAUAACUCACUGAAUAGACAAGAUCAUAACACACCACACAAGCAUCCACACAAAUCACACAUGAAGCAAACAAUAGAACUAAAUAAGAAUAAUACAACAUUAAAUAAAAAGAUUUGAAAAUUAAUCUAUACAUUGCUAUGAGCAUGCAGACUUGAAAAGUACGCUAAUCGAAGCUACAAUGUAAAAGAAAUAACUCACAAAUGUUUACUUUAUUAAGGAAAAAUAAAACUAUGAGAUUUAUUUAUUUUAAUUAUAUAAAACAAGUAUAAGAUAUUUCUGAAAUAUCUAGAUUGAAUACAAUCAAAUUAUAUUUGGGAAAAUUAAAAUAAAAUUAAUCAUUUUUAUUUAUAAAUCUAGUUACAUAAUCAUUAUUCAAGUUAGAAUUUAAAAUAUGAAAUUAUAGAUCAAGUUACAUGGUAAACACUUACUAAUGUGUAGAUUACGCCUUUAUGAAUCUAACGCAACUUGAGCGGAUCAAAAUAGAGCUAAAACAAAUAUUUUUUGCUAAAAC